rnacentral:lncRNA from 1 species
CAGAGAAAAAGAAAAGCCAAUUGUUCAAAAGUGCCUAAUAUGCCCACGGAAAAUUUUCGUCACGACCCACAGUUACUCGAAUAGGUAAUAAGACAGGAAUGCCUUUGUUUGUUCGAAUAUAGAAGCACAAUGGCUCAGAAAGGAUCCCUCCAAUCUCCUUGGCACUGUCAGCUGGGUGCGGAGUAGCUUGGUGGCAGCAACCAUGUUUGAGAGGGCUGGCUUCACCUCAGUGUACUUGCGAGUCUUGAGACCACAGUCAGGGUUAACCCACAAAAUGUUGGUUUCUAGCACAGUACGCAUCUCGUAGAUUCUGUCAACAAUUUCUUCGGUUGAUGGUAUUCUUGGAGAGUGGAUGUCAUAGACGCCAGGGCCAAUUGCAGCAUCAUACUGGACUCCCUCACGGAAGACUGACAGGAGAUUCUCAUUAGAACGAGAGUUCUCAAUGGUGAUCACAUCAGCAUCCAUGUCGAUAAUUGAGUGGAUAAUGUCGUUGAAGUUGGAGUAGCACAUGUGGGUGUGGAUCUGUCAAUCAAUAAACAAUAGAAUGAGAUACAAAAUCAACAGCUAAAUUAAAGAGAUGAGAUUGGAGAUUAAAAGGGUAACUGACCUGGGUAGUGUCCUGGAUGCCACAGUUGGUGAUUCUGAAGGAGUGGACUGCCCAGUCCAAGUAGAAAGCAUGCUCAGAUUUCCUGAGAGGCAAUCCUUCCCUCAAGGCAGCCUCAUCAAUUUGAAUAACGUUAAUGCCUGCCUUCUCAAGAUCCUCGACUUCGUCCUUGAUGGCCAAAGCAAUCUGGUAGCAGGUUUCAUGUCUGCAAAAUUGGCAGCGAUUGAUGUUAAACAAUGUUUCCAUUCCAAAAGGUUAACCAAUAGUGAACCAGUUCUCAUUUAUAUACCUGGGCUGGUCAUUUCUGACAAAGGACCAGUUGAGAAUGGUGACAGGGCCAGUAAGCAUUCCCUUCAUUGGGCGAGCAGUCAUGCUCUGAGCCCAGGAGGACCAGAAGACGGUCAUAGCCUUGGGACGGCUCACAUCACCAUAGAUGAUGGGUGGCUUCACACAGCGAGAUCCAUAGGAUUGCACCCACCCAUUGGCAGUGAAGGCGAAACCUGAUAACUGCUCUCCAAAGUACUCAACCAUGUCGUUUCUCUACAAAAACAAAUGUCCGAAUUCAAUUUGAGAUCCAGCAUACUUCGUAUGCAAUUAGAAAUGCAGAAACAAAAAUGUAUAAAAUUUUAUGUAAUUCAAAACCAGGAGACAUUGCUUUGCUUCCAUUGGGCAUUGCGAGACUCACCUCAGGCUCUCCAUGGACAAGGACAUCAAUAUCAAGCUCUUCUUGGAGUUUGACAACCUUGUUGAUUUCCUCCUUGAUGGAAGCAACAUAUUCUUCCUCAGAAAUCCUAAAAAGGACAAAUAGUCACGGCACAGUUAAUACAGUAGUUGCAGUAAUUUCACACAUGGCAUUGAAUGAAGAAACACCUCAGAUUGACUCACUUCUUAGCCUUGUAUUCACGGCGGACUCUCCUAAGUUCAAUGGUUUGUGGGAAGGAUCCAAUUGUGGUGGUUGGGAGGAUUGGAAGAUUGAGCUUCUUCUGUUGAGCAUCUAAUCUAGCACUAACGUUUGUAGCACGUCUGUGGUCUGAUCCCCUCAAAGCAGCAGCCUAAUAGACCAAGAGGAAGGAAUCACUGUUAGCAAAAAAGGAAAUUCUAAGGGACAGCCACAUCAUAAAAAUGGAAAACAAAUCAAUCAUGCCACUUACAGCCUUUUGAACUGCCUCAUUGGUCACUCUCGGGGAGGACUUUCUUGAAGCCUGAGCUGCAGCAUUGGCAGAGAAGAAUCCCUGGAAACAAAUGAUAAGGAGAACCAAAGUUAGUCUCAUUCAUAUCAUUUUAAAAAGAAGAUACAUAUGCAAUUAGUGGGCUGAUUGUGAGAGAAAAAGUCCCCAAAACUUUAAUCAAACACCAAAUGCCCAAGUUGCCAAAUGAUGUUUAAUUCGGAAAAAUAUAUUUAAAAACAUUCAAAUAUAAUUUCCCCUUCUAAAUUUUCAUUUUCAACAACAUAUUUUACAAGCCAAGCUCAACGUCAGGCCAAGAUUUUGUGCUCCUAUAAUUAUAUUUUACCAUAAAACUAGGUCCUUGAAAGGCUAAGAUUUUCUGACUCUUGUGACUAGUCAAAGCCUAAGAUUCUUUCAAUUCAUCCGUAGUAAAAGUAUACCUCAUCCUUUUGGCCAGCCAAAGCCUUGGCCAAUGCAUUGACUUCAACAACUUUCUGGGCAGCAAAUGCCAGCCAUGACUUGAUUUCGUCGUCGAGUUUGUUCUCAUUAACAAGAUCAACAGCAGUGUGAAGAAGUGAGCAGGAGGUGGAGACCACAAGCUUGUCUGCAAAGAAAAGUAAUAAAUUAUACAACAAAUCCCAUAAUAGAAUAAGAAAUAUUUAUCACAAAGAAAAAUGCAAGCAAAGGAUGUAUACCUUUGCCAACAACACCCUCAAGCCCCCGGAGAACACUAAGAGAAGCAGCAAGAUCAUUGGCCCAAAUGUUCCUUCCAUCAACCACUCCAGCAAAGAGGUACUUGCCAGCAGGGAAUCCACUCUUGAUCAAUUCAAGGGUCUUGGUUCCACGAACCAAAUCAAAUCCAUAAGCGGUGACACCCUUCAAAGAAGUGAGGGUCUGGAAUGCCUCAGCUGGAACAUCAGCAAAGUAGGUCUCAACAAGAACAUUCAAGCCAGACAGAGUUGACUCUAGUUCCGCGUAAGCCUCACUGAAUGCUUGCAAUUUGUGUGAGUCAAGAUCCGUAACAAGCAAUGGCUCAUCAAACUGAAUCCAGGAAGCACCAGCAGCCUUAAGCUCAGAAACAACUUCCCUGCAGAAGUGUUAAUUGGUACGACACGGAUUAAUGAUGCCACACGAUACACACACACACACACACACACACACACACACACACACACACACACACACACACACACACACACACACACACACACACACACACACACACACACACACACACACACACACACACACACAGACAGAGUUAUUUAGCACAUACACGUUUAUAAAUCUGUAAAUAGGUGAUAAUUCUUACUUGUAGAUCGGAAGGAUUUUGGGAAGAAGAGAGAGAACAGAAAAGGUCUUCUCAACCCCCCAGGCAGGCUUAGACAGCAACAAGUAUGACACAGGGCCAAUAAGCACUGGGACAGUUUCAACUCCAUGCUGCAGCAUUAGACAAGUGGUAGAUAUUAGCAUCUCACAAACUUGAUCUGACUGAUAGAAAGUUACAAGCAAGUUAAGAAUAUGUUUGAUGAAAUUUCAAUGAAAAAUCUUCAGGGUCCACAACAUGUUGACUAUACCCUUUUUAAGUAAUUUAUCUUAAGACUAUUUUGCAAACAGUAUUGCUUCCCUUUACAGAUCAAAUAAAUCAUACAACAUCUGAACGCAUUUCCUGAGCCAAAUAUAAGUUCAAAGCUCUAUAAUAAAUGUCAAUGACUCUAUAGUAAAUUCCAUCACAUUCUGAGCUAUGGAUGAGCAUAUCAUAUGCCAAUUUCAAGUUGAACGUAACCCAAUUUCAACAUAUUGUAGAUUCAAGUAUCAAACGAAAAAAAAAAUAUUGUAAAUAUAGACAGAACUGAGAACAAACACUCACCCCCUUAGCCUCCUUGUACUCAGUCACAGCCUUGUGGGAAGCGUAGGAGAACUUAACAUCGGGUCCCAAUUCAGGAACAAUGAAAUGACUGCAUCAACACGAAGCCAAACACACGUCAGCAUUCAGUACAAAACCAUUACACCAUAACUAACUUGAAAUGCCGCUCUUCCAAGUAGUGAAUACUUACUAGUUGGUGUCGAACCACUUGGUCAUUUCCAUUGCGAGAACAGAGGCGUUUCCUCUGGCCAUGGAGAAGUAAACAUCGAAUCCAAUCUCGCCGCCGUUCCAGUUAAACCUCGGGGGCACGGCACCGAGCAUUGCGGUGGUGUCGAGCACUUGGUCGUAGUAGGAGAAAGUGUUGCUGGGAAUGUAUUUGAUCCCGGCCUCGGACAUCUGUUUCCAGAUGGAGGAUCUGAGAUCAGCGGACACCUUUUGCAAAUCCUCGGCGCUGCUCUUGCCAUCCCAGAAGGAUUCCAACGCGAACUUGAGCUCCCUCUUGGGGCCCAUGCGUGGGUAACCAACGAUGUGAGAUGCCAUUUUACUGUCAUAAUCACGUCAUCAAUGAAUCGAAAAUCAGUCCCUUCCAUUAAAUCAAGAAAUUAUUAAUUCAAAUGAAUGGAUCACAUUGUAUAUAUAUGGGAUAAAUAUAAUUAUGAACAAAAGCGUCUAAUCAAUCACAAAAAGCAAGCGACUGCAUCAAAUUUAGGGAUCCGACCCGACCCGACCCGAUCUGUAAAUUCCGGUUUCAAUCGGAUUAAGAUGAAACCUCUAACCCGAUAUAGUUGGAUUUUGGCCAACUCGAUCGGAUCAGAUCGGAUCGGAUUAAACUUAGUCCAAUCCGAAAAAUUCAAAAAAUCAAAACUACAAUAAGUAUAAAUCUAAAUUUUCAAUUCAAUUUGAUCUAAUCUGAAUAUAUUCGAAUCGGAUCAAAUACUAUGCUCUGCUUAAACUUGGAUUAUAUUUUUUUCAAUUUGAUUAACCUAAAAUUCGAUUGGAUAGAUCCAAAACUGAAUUUAUCUACCCCUCAGUCAUCAAUCAAUUACAAAACCUAAAAUCCGAUUGGAUAGAUCCGAAACUGAAUUUAUCCACCCUUAAGUCAUCAAUCAAUUACAAAGGCGACUGAUGUUUAUACAAUGGACAAUUAUUAAGUUACAGCUCUUGUAAUUUACAACUUAUACAAAAAUAUGUGAAAAAUUGUGAUAGGCAGUACAGUGUCAUGAUUUUAUACAAAAAUAUGUAAACAAUUGUGAUAGACGGUAGAACCUCAUGAUUUUAUAAAAAAUACGUAAAAAGUUGGGAUAAGUAAUGGAGCCCGCAUAAUUUUUUAUCAGCUGCAAGUUGCAAGUUACAGCAACUGUAACUUAGCGACCCCGACUUCAAUGUAAAAUGAGAAAGUACUCCUCCGCAUAGUACCUGAUGCUCAAAAGUCAAAUCACACGAAAUGCAAAUAGACUUAUCAGAGCAUAAAACCUUAUAUUACUUUUUGAAAAACGAUUUGAAACAAGGGCAAAAUUACAGUGUAACCGUACUUAGUCAUUGAAUUCAGCUCACAAUUAUCAUUAUAGUUAGAUCUAAUAACUAGAUCCAACUGUAUCCACAGUUAUAUUGUAGUUAGAUCUGAUAACUAAAUCCAGAUCCAGCUGUCCCCACAAUUGUCAUUAUAGUUAGAUCUAAUAAUUAGAUUCGGCUGAUUCAGCUGUGAUGUAGUACCCUGUAGUGCCAUAACUGGACAAAGAAACAAACUGAUAUAUUUUCUUUUUUGAAACAAACUGAUACUAAUCCAAGAGUUUCAGAUGAUCGGUUUUUUUUUUUUUUUCUAUAGUCACAUCAAUAAUUAAGUACUUUCAGUCAUUUUCGAAGGAUUAAAACGAAAACUCUAAAAAAAUUCUGAGAAUGAAGAAUCCGAAAAUAGAUUCAGAAAUAGUAACACAAGUAGAGGUCAGAUUGUUUUUUGGAAAAGAUUAAUUGCAGAUCUGAUGAACUCAAGUCUAGAUCUAGCAAAAUCACGGCAGCCAAACACUAGAUCUAAGACUAACAGUCACUCACCAGUCGAUCAGAAAGUGAAAUCAAGUUCAAAAUUCUUUUUUUUUAAUAGAUCCAAAAGCUAAUAUACAUAUAUAUAUGGCAAAAUAUAUAUACCGUACCCGAGAAGGACGAGCAGAGAAAUUAAGCUUUUUUCGAGAGAACGAGAAAGAAGAGAGACGAGACUGUUAGAAAUUGCUGUCAGUUUAAUUUUUAUUUAUAGCCAAAAACCUAACCUUGUUUAGUGGUUACUGGUUACCGUCUUCGGCGGUGUUGAUCUGAGAUUUAUCAUUUUAAUUUCUUUCUCUUACUUAUUUAUUUAAUUUGGGUCCAACUACGGUGAAACUGUAGUACCGUGCUACAGUUAUUUUCAACCGUUUGAUUCACUUGGAUGGUGGGAUCCAAUAAAAUCCAAUAACUGGGUGCAACCGUAGCACGGUGCCGCAGUUGCACCACAGUUUUUCCCAUUUAUUUAUUAUGCUUUCAGUGCAGUUGGCAAAAACAUGGAGCUUACGCGCGCUUUUCUGAUGUGGCGCGUGAAUUGGAAAUGUGGUAGAUCUUUGUGGAUCCGCCGGUGCAGUGAAGAGUGAAGGAAAAAAGAGAAAAGUUAUCAUGCCAGAUCAUUUGAAGAGAGCCGCAAUUAGUAAUUACACCACAAUAUAUUUCUGAUUAUUUGCUUACUUUGAUGAUGUUUUUACUGAUUAGUAAUUGGAAUAUGUUAGAAUCUAAAUAUAGUAGAAUCAUAAUAGAGUUGAAUCAAAAUAGACUAUAAUUAGAAUGGAUAAUGGGAAUUAGAAGAAUUAUUUGCUUUAGUUGUGAGAAUCCAAAUUGGAAUGAACUAUAUUGUCGUUGAUAUGUUUACUUUAUCAUAGAAUAUGAAUGAAUUAUUACAAGUUACUAAACAGACCUUAAGUUGAUUAUUGUCAUUAUUUAUUUAUUUAUUAUUAUUAUUAUUAUUAUCAUCAUCAUCAUCAUCAAAAUUAUUAAUCUUAUUAUUAAUGUUAAUUAUAAUAAUUAAUAAUUAUAAUAGUAUUAUAAUAAUAAUAAUAAUAAAAGCAAUCAUAAAAUGAGAAUUUCAAGAUUUAAGUAGAGAUAAUAUAAUUAUUUUAGAAAAUGAGAAUUUCCAUGAGAAUGUGAACUCUAUUAAUCAUUCCCAAUUUGAAGUGGGGCCUGCCAUUUUGAUUCAAUCUCUCAUUUAAGCAAGUAAAUACGACAUUUAUUCUCAUUCCCUCAUUCCCACUCUCAGGUAGCGUUUGUUUUUUAACUUAAUGACUUAAAGUGACUUAACUUAAUUAAUUAAGUUAAUUAGAGGUGUUUAUUUUUAUAACUUAAUGAGACUUUUUAGAUAAUUUUGACUUAAUAAAAUGAGCCAAUUUUUUUUGGCUUUUUACUUAAUGGAGAAAUUUGAAUUUAGUCAAUUACUUACUAAUGUCAAAAAUAUCUAUGUUUUAUAAUUUAUUUUUCAUGUCUAUCCCAAAACUCACCCAUAGACAUUUACCCCACAUAAAAAUAUCCCUAUUUUUUCUUUCUUAUAUUAUAUACGAUAAAAUUUGAAAUUUAUGGUAUUUUAUAUAUUAAAAUUCUAAAAUAAUUAUGUAUUCACUUGAAUAUAGUUUUACUUAUAACUGUUAAAAUAUUGUGGUAUUUAAUAUAUUAUUUAUUUGACAUUAAAAUUUAAUAAGGAUACAAAUGUAAAAGUACAUAUUUUCAGUUUUUUCAGUUAAAAAAAAAGCAACUUAAUACUUAUUUUUCGAGAUUCAGACGAAAAAAUAAACAUAUUAUUCAUAUUCAGACAUUUAGAUAUAUUCAGAAUUCAAACUAAUUCAGGUCUAUUCAGAUUUUAGACAAAAAAAACAAACGCCACCUCAAUCAAUAAACACACCAUAAAUGUAGAGUUGUUACUAUUAGAAUACAUUAUAAUUCAUCACAAUUAUGAUAGGUAUAUACGUGUGUAAUAAUUUAUAUAAGAUGCUAAAUUUUGAAAAUAAUAAAAAAUCAUUUAUACAUAUUUAAAAAAAUCAUUAAUACAUUAAAAUGUGCAUCACAUAUACAUUUACAUAAUAGCAAUGACCAUAGUAUAAAAAAAACUCCUAAAAGAGAACGACUUCGUUAUUUAUGUUAUUUUAUAUAUUUUUAAUUGAUUAUUAAAAGGAUCAAUUGUUAAUUAUUAUUCUCCAAACAUAAUCACCGUUAAACAUUUAUUCAAUUUAACAAUAGGUAGAUGUUAAAUAAUAUUGGAAUAUUUAAUGAACAAUAUAAUCACUAUUGCAGUUGUUUUUUUUUUUUAGUAAUGGAUUAUUCGAAACUCAAAUUCAUUUUUUAGCCCCCUUACCUCUCUUAAAAUUCAAAUUUAAGUGACUAAACAAAUAAAACUGCUUAAAAUCUAUACGACUACAUCUUUGGGGACCAAUUAAUAUGGAUGUUUAAAUCUUGAUUUAUUAUUAAAUCUUUGAGUUUCAACCACUAAUAACAUCAUCAUCGAUUAAUGACAAAUAAAAUAAUACAUCAUCAAAACCAUUAAACACGUCCAUCAAUAUCAAAAACAAGUAAAAAGUUUAGCAUGUAUUUCAAAUAUACUUUUCAUCCCAAAAGUUGUAGAGAAAGUCUCGAUAUCAAUGUCACUAUGAGACGUAAUUUUAUAUUUAAAGUCAGCGCAACUUAAAAAUUACUAUGAAUGAAUAAUACACCAUAAAAAAAUUAUUUAUAAGUAUUUUCAUCAUGUAUUUUUAUUUAACAAUGGUGACAUUUAUUUUUUAACUUAAUGACUUAAAGUGGCUUAACUUAAUUAAUUAAGUUAAUUUUAGGUGUUUGUUUUUAUAACUUAAUAGGACAUUUUAGAUAAUUUUGACUUAAUAAAAUAGGCCAAUUUUUUUUAACUUUUUACUUAAUAGAGAAAUUUGAAUUAAGUCAGUUACUUUCUAAUGUAAAAAAAUAUUCCUACUUUAUAAUUUAUUUUUCAUGCAUAUUCAAAAACUCACCCAUAGAUAUUUACCCCACAUAAUCUCAUCUUUAUUUUCUUCCAGCCGUCAUGGAAUCCCUCCUCACUUUGCUUCUCUCCUCUAGUUCUUGAAUCUCCCUUUAAUUUCUCGCUAGGCAAAGCACUUGAAUUGGGCUUUUUUUUUUUCCUUUUCAAUUACGUUUUCCAACAUUCACUUAUAUAAUAAUCAACUAGUUGCUACUCUUUUUAGUGAUAAAAUUUGAAAUAUGGUAUUUUAUAUAUUAAAUUUUCAAAAUUAUGUAUUCACUUAAAUGUAGUUUUACUUAUAAAUAUUAAAAUAUUAUGUUAUUUAAUAUAUUAUUUAUUUGACAUUCAAAUUUAAUAAGGAUAUAAAUGUAAAAGUACAUAUUUUUAAUUUUUUAAGUUGAAAAAAUAACUUAAUAUUUAUUUUCAGAUAUUCAAAUAAAAAAUAUAUUAUUUAAAUUCAAAAAUUUAAAUCUAUUCAAAAUUUAAAGUAAUUCAGGUCUAUGCAUAUUUCAAUCAUAAAAACAAAUGCCACAUGAGUCAUUCAAUUUCUAAUUAAGAGGAUAAAAAAUAGAUUUGGACUAUCCUAAGACAAAAACAAAAAAAAAAACAAAAAUAAGAUUUCCUAAUAAGUGUACUAACGUGGUCACGCGCCUUGAGAAACGCUUGGACCUAACACACUAUUUUAAUCCGAUAUGCAAAAAAAGAAAAAAAAAAAAAAGGAAAAAUUAUGAGAUGUAUAAGUUUCUAGAGACGUGUUAAAUUUUGAUGAAACAAUGAAGAAAGUCGGUGGCCGAAGUUGGUAUGGGGCAAUGCGAAUGGUGGUUGGCCCACGUUGCCCUGUAAUUGGAGUUGUUAUAAUUUUUCUUAUAAUUAAUAGGACUUGACACAGACUGCAGCAUCAGCCGUUGGAUGUGGAGGGAGAAACUAAACAAUAGAAAACCGUAUGGUGGGAUGACGGUAGAUGUUUGUUACAGAAACUGUACCAUAGACAGGUCCUAAUUAAUAAGCUCUACGUUUUGAAACAAUAAAUAAACUCCAGAUGACCAAAAUAUCAUUUCAUACUGCUACCUAGACAUCUUGGCGAGGGUGGGUAAUGUGGGGCCCGGAGCUUGUUUGAUCGUCAAUUAUUCUCUGGUUUGGUGAAACGAAUGGACGGACGAUGGUGAUGGCUUUUAGGAGAUUAGUAUUAUUAUUAUUAUUAUUAUUAUUACAUUGAGAUCGUAAAACAAAAAAUUCAAUUAAUAAUAUAAAAUAUUUAUUUAAUUUAUUAAUUAUUAUAUAUACACAAUAAAAAAAUUUAUAUACAUAUUUAUAAAUGUGUAAAUAAAUUUCAUUCAAUAUUAUAUCCAAUUAAUCAUUUAUAUUUUUCUGCUGUACCGUACAUCCGCCUUGGCCGUACAGCAGUAAAGCUGCUGAUGCUUUAUCGCGAAUUCAUGAGGAAAAUGUGAUUGAAGAACCCAAACCAACAACUCUUUGUUUGUCGUUAGACAUUUACCCCACAUAAAAAUAUCCCUAUUUUUUCUUUCUUAUAUUAUAUACGAUAAAAUUUGAAAUUUAUGGUAUUUUAUAUAUUAAAAUUCUAAAAUAAUUAUGUAUUCACUUGAAUAUAGUUUUACUUAUAACUGUUAAAAUAUUGUGGUAUUUAAUAUAUUAUUUAUUUGACAUUAAAAUUUAAUAAGGAUACAAAUGUAAAAGUACAUAUUUUCAGUUUUUUCAGUUAAAAAAAAAGCAACUUAAUACUUAUUUUUCGAGAUUCAGACGAAAAAAUAAACAUAUUAUUCAUAUUCAGACAUUUAGAUAUAUUCAGAAUUCAAACUAAUUCAGGUCUAUUCAGAUUUUAGACAAAAAAAACAAACGCCACCUCAAUCAAUAAACACACCAUAAAUGUAGAGUUGUUACUAUUAGAAUACAUUAUAAUUCAUCACAAUUAUGAUAGGUAUAUACGUGUGUAAUAAUUUAUAUAAGAUGCUAAAUUUUGAAAAUAAUAAAAAAUCAUUUAUACAUAUUUAAAAAAAUCAUUAAUACAUUAAAAUGUGCAUCACAUAUACAUUUACAUAAUAGCAAUGACCAUAGUAUAAAAAAAACUCCUAAAAGAGAACGACUUCGUUAUUUAUGUUAUUUUAUAUAUUUUUAAUUGAUUAUUAAAAGGAUCAAUUGUUAAUUAUUAUUCUCCAAACAUAAUCACCGUUAAACAUUUAUUCAAUUUAACAAUAGGUAGAUGUUAAAUAAUAUUGGAAUAUUUAAUGAACAAUAUAAUCACUAUUGCAGUUGUUUUUUUUUUUUAGUAAUGGAUUAUUCGAAACUCAAAUUCAUUUUUUAGCCCCCUUACCUCUCUUAAAAUUCAAAUUUAAGUGACUAAACAAAUAAAACUGCUUAAAAUCUAUACGACUACAUCUUUGGGGACCAAUUAAUAUGGAUGUUUAAAUCUUGAUUUAUUAUUAAAUCUUUGAGUUUCAACCACUAAUAACAUCAUCAUCGAUUAAUGACAAAUAAAAUAAUACAUCAUCAAAACCAUUAAACACGUCCAUCAAUAUCAAAAACAAGUAAAAAGUUUAGCAUGUAUUUCAAAUAUACUUUUCAUCCCAAAAGUUGUAGAGAAAGUCUCGAUAUCAAUGUCACUAUGAGACGUAAUUUUAUAUUUAAAGUCAGCGCAACUUAAAAAUUACUAUGAAUGAAUAAUACACCAUAAAAAAAUUAUUUAUAAGUAUUUUCAUCAUGUAUUUUUAUUUAACAAUGGUGACAUUUAUUUUUUAACUUAAUGACUUAAAGUGGCUUAACUUAAUUAAUUAAGUUAAUUUUAGGUGUUUGUUUUUAUAACUUAAUAGGACAUUUUAGAUAAUUUUGACUUAAUAAAAUAGGCCAAUUUUUUUUAACUUUUUACUUAAUAGAGAAAUUUGAAUUAAGUCAGUUACUUUCUAAUGUAAAAAAAUAUUCCUACUUUAUAAUUUAUUUUUCAUGCAUAUUCAAAAACUCACCCAUAGAUAUUUACCCCACAUAAUCUCAUCUUUAUUUUCUUCCAGCCGUCAUGGAAUCCCUCCUCACUUUGCUUCUCUCCUCUAGUUCUUGAAUCUCCCUUUAAUUUCUCGCUAGGCAAAGCACUUGAAUUGGGCUUUUUUUUUUUUCCUUUUCAAUUACGUUUUCCAACAUUCACUUAUAUAAUAAUCAACUAGUUGCUACUCUUUUUAGUGAUAAAAUUUGAAAUAUGGUAUUUUAUAUAUUAAAUUUUCAAAAUUAUGUAUUCACUUAAAUGUAGUUUUACUUAUAAAUAUUAAAAUAUUAUGUUAUUUAAUAUAUUAUUUAUUUGACAUUCAAAUUUAAUAAGGAUAUAAAUGUAAAAGUACAUAUUUUUAAUUUUUUAAGUUGAAAAAAUAACUUAAUAUUUAUUUUCAGAUAUUCAAAUAAAAAAUAUAUUAUUUAAAUUCAAAAAUUUAAAUCUAUUCAAAAUUUAAAGUAAUUCAGGUCUAUGCAUAUUUCAAUCAUAAAAACAAAUGCCACAUGAGUCAUUCAAUUUCUAAUUAAGAGGAUAAAAAAUAGAUUUGGACUAUCCUAAGACAAAAACAAAAAAAAAAACAAAAAUAAGAUUUCCUAAUAAGUGUACUAACGUGGUCACGCGCCUUGAGAAACGCUUGGACCUAACACACUAUUUUAAUCCGAUAUGCAAAAAAAGAAAAAAAAAAAAAAGGAAAAAUUAUGAGAUGUAUAAGUUUCUAGAGACGUGUUAAAUUUUGAUGAAACAAUGAAGAAAGUCGGUGGCCGAAGUUGGUAUGGGGCAAUGCGAAUGGUGGUUGGCCCACGUUGCCCUGUAAUUGGAGUUGUUAUAAUUUUUCUUAUAAUUAAUAGGACUUGACACAGACUGCAGCAUCAGCCGUUGGAUGUGGAGGGAGAAACUAAACAAUAGAAAACCGUAUGGUGGGAUGACGGUAGAUGUUUGUUACAGAAACUGUACCAUAGACAGGUCCUAAUUAAUAAGCUCUACGUUUUGAAACAAUAAAUAAACUCCAGAUGACCAAAAUAUCAUUUCAUACUGCUACCUAGACAUCUUGGCGAGGGUGGGUAAUGUGGGGCCCGGAGCUUGUUUGAUCGUCAAUUAUUCUCUGGUUUGGUGAAACGAAUGGACGGACGAUGGUGAUGGCUUUUAGGAGAUUAGUAUUAUUAUUAUUAUUAUUAUUAUUACAUUGAGAUCGUAAAACAAAAAAUUCAAUUAAUAAUAUAAAAUAUUUAUUUAAUUUAUUAAUUAUUAUAUAUACACAAUAAAAAAAUUUAUAUACAUAUUUAUAAAUGUGUAAAUAAAUUUCAUUCAAUAUUAUAUCCAAUUAAUCAUUUAUAUUUUUACAGCGGUUUAAUAAUAAUAUUUACUAAAUACAUAUGAUUAUUUUUAAAAUUCACAGUAUUUUUAAAAAUAAAUUUUAUAAAAUUUUUAACUAAUUUUCUUUACAACUAACUAUUGAACGGUUUAACUAAUAGUAAUUAUUUUUAAAAUUAUAGUAUUAUCAAAUUAGUCCUAUGUCAAAUUUGUUAUUGCUGUUUUUUUUUUAAUUAAAAAAUUACAUAGUGCAUACGUGCAUAAUAUGCCCAACUCAAAAAUUCACACAAAAUAUACUAUUUAACUUUAAGGCUUUAAUUGAAAAAAAAAAUUAAGAUUAAGAUGAAUAAAUACUAGAACAUAACAAAUAGAUAAACUCUCCCAUUCUUUAAAAAGAUUAAUUUUAUUUUAAACUUACACUUCGAAUUCAAAGUAGACAUUGAUUGAUAAAAUUAUACAAACGGAUCAAUAUUCCUACAUUUUCUUUUUAAUUUCAAAACCAACAGAUAUUGUUUGUUCAUUAUAUGACCUCCAAACAAAUAAUUUCAUUAAUAAAAUAAUAAUGAAAAGUGUCGUGAUGGGUAUAGAGUAAUUAGGUGGCUAAGUUUCUACUUUUCAUUCUAACUCUUGAGGUUGGUAGGCGCGUGGGUGGUCCACAAAACCCGUGGACGGUAGCAUUCAAACAAAGACUGGAGGCACCAGAAAAAUGUCCAAAAAGUGUGAAACCGUGACGUGUUCAACAUGUUAAUAAAUUUAGGCAAAUGUUAAAGUUACGGAGCUGGCUACGUUACAGAAACUGUACGUAACAGCCAUGCAUUUUUUAUUCGUUGGAUCUAGAGACUGAAAUUGGAUGGUUGGGAUUAAAGGCCAGAAUAGAAAUUAAUCACGGGCAACCGUUUUUAACAUUUAGAAGGGUUUAUUUUCAUGCACACCCAAAUAUUUUGACAAAUAUCAAUAUGCACCCAGUAACUUUUUAUGUAAAACCACAUAACCGACCCGUUAACUUUUCUACUAUUGAAUUAAAAAACUAUCAUGCCUCAAUUGAAUUAAAUUGAUCAGGUAAAAUAUCUUUUAUAACUUGUCAAUUUUUACAGUGAAAUAUACGAGUAUUUAGUAAAAUCAAAUUUAUUUUUUAUUCAGUAAUCAAAUUUUUUUAUUUAGUGAAAUCAAAAUUAUUUUUCUUUAGUUGUAAGAUUUUUUUAACAAAAAAAUUCUAAAAUCAGAUUUAACUCAUUUACUAUUUUAAAAAAUGAACUUUUUACUAACCAAACUAGAGUUUAUCUUUAGUCAACAUAUUUUUUUCUCUAAAAUAACCUUUGAUAGAAUUACUUAUAUAAACAUGUCAGUAUCAAAAUUACUUCAUAUUUUACCAUCCAUCAAUUUAAACUAGUGUGAAAUUUUUUUAGUUUGAUAUUGAAAAUAUGAUAGUUGAUGAGAGAAAUCUAAUUCAAAUUUACAGAUAGAAUAGUUUCUUAUAAUUGCGUACAUGGUAUAUCAAAAAUAUUUUUUUGUGAGUUUUUAAAAAAAUUGUGUCACAAGAUGAAAUUAUCUCUUGAUUUUUCAAUUCCUGGAAUUUAUGUAAAACAAUAAACACAAGUAAAUCUUUUGGUUUGUGACUUCUUGAAGGAAUGUUUGGGAACGCACAAGUUCCUCUCUCCUUCAAAAAGAAUGAUAAGUGCAAAUACCAACCUAGAAAAUUGAUUUAUAAUUCAAAGAAGAUUUGAUUGAAGAUGAUUAAUUGAAAUUUAUCUUUGCAUGAUGUCAAACAUUUUUCAAAAUGACUAAGUCAAGUCUCUUUGUUAAUUCAAAUCAAGAAAAAUUAGAAAAAUAUUAAUGCAUAGAAAUUCUACUAAGAGUUAUUUAUGAAAUUCUCAAACGAAUAGAAAUUAAAUUAACAUUUUUAAAUUUUAGUUAUGGGUUUAUUUUAAAAAUGGGUUUAGAAAGAAAUUUGAGGGGUUUAAAGAACCCCGCCCUUUCUUUAAUUAUUCGGUGAAUUUGAAAUAUAUUAAUAAGGUAUAAGAAUAUGUUAUUCUAAUCUUCUUAUGCAAAAUCUAUGCAAUUAAAAAAAAAUUCACCAAACGGUAUUUGUCUUUUUAUUGACAUUUAAUAAUAUUGAUGGCAAAUAUAUACAAUUAUCAAUCAAUUGUUAUCAACUAUUCAAGAUAACUGAAAAACUAAUUGCGUGAAGUUGGAGUAAUGAUUGUUUGAAUUGCCAAGAGUUUUUUUUUAAUAGAAACUAUUGCAAUUCAUAUCAUUAAAAAACUUAAAGACUACAAGUCGAAUAAAAAAUCUUUCCUUAUAAAAGAAUUUGACCAACUCAAAGUACAGUGUUAAAUCCUUGAGAUACAAUGAACCUAAAAAUCCUACUUUGACACACCACAAAUAAUGAAUCUAACUUAACAAUCAAUGGAGAUAAAUCAAUUUUACUAGCAAAAUAUAAGCCAAAACACAAGGCAACGUCUUCACCAAAAUCAAUAUCAUUCAAAUAAUUCCCCUUGUGAACGCCUGAAGCUAUCAUAAAAACAACAAAAAAUAAAAAAAUAAAAACAAGUAGACAAGCAAAAAAAUUCCCCAAUAACAAGUUACCCUACAAAACUUUUCCUUGUAGAACAUACACAGAAACCGCAGCUAUAGGGCUAUCGAAAGUAGGGAUGGCAAUGGGGAGGGGAGGGGAGGGGACCAAUCUCCCCAUACCCAUCCCCGAUAUUUUGCGUAUGUCCCCGUCCCCGUCAGAAUUGCUUGAGAGAAUCUCCAUCCCCUCCCCGAAUAAUAACAGGGGAUCCCCGAGGGUCCCCGGUCUUUGGAAAAGCUAGGAAAGAAAAGGGACGUGAAAAACAAAGGGGGUAGAUUUUUUGAAGGGGAAAGAAAAAGAAACCCUAGAUCUAAAUUUUUCUCUUCUCUCUAUGAAGAACUAAACCUAUUAUUCUGGUUGAAGAUUAAUAAAGCUUUGGUUCAUCAUUACUGUGAGAUCUUUCUUAUGCUUUAAUUGUUUUAUUGCUUUUUGGGUAUUUGUUUAUUCUCUAAAUUAUUGUCAUGAUUAUAUUUGUUAAUUAGAUAAUUGGCCACUAUUUAAUUAUCAACUUAAUCUAUUGUCAAUUAAAAGAUUCAUCGUAUGAAGAUUUUAAUAUUUGUGACAAAUAGCAUAGCAGUGCGUUGUGUUAUGAGAAUAAACAAUCUAAUUUAAAUGAACCAUCGUAUGCGUUUGUUGAUUAGGAUUUGGGUCUCUCUGAUUUUUCAGGUUGUCAAUUAAUUAAAUCCUAUGAUUGUAUCUAGGGUUAUCUAUUAAUUAGGGAAAUAACCAAUGGUCGUACCUUAGUUAUCGACUAGUUAAAGAGAGAUUGGCUAUUAAAGGGUCUCAGUAGCUAGGGAUGGCAAAAAUCCCCACGGGGACGGGCACCCUCGGGGAUUUUCCCCAUUCGGGGAGGGUACGGGGAUAAUUUUAUACCCAAUUUUUUUUUCGGGGAGGGGACGGGGAAAAUUUUUUACCCAAUUUUUUAUUCGGGGAGGGGACGGGGAUGAGGUGGAAUCCCCAUCCCCUACCCAUUUCCCCAUUUUAAUUUUUAUUUUUUAUUUUUAAAAUUACUAAUAAAUAUAUAACAAAAUUAUAAAUAUUGGCAAGAUAUGAGUGGAAUUUUGGGUGUGACAUGUAUAUUUGAUCCAAGGUAUAAAAAGAAGUUCAUUGAAUAAUACUUUUCUUUUUAUUUUUAAAAUUACUAAUAAAUAAAUAACAAAAUUAUAAAUAUUGUUAAAAAUAAUAAAUAUCAAAAUAGUUGUAUGUUGGGAAAGUGGUCACCCCUUACCAGGAAUUAGUGGAAGAGUAUCAAUUGAAGUUUUCACCAAUUGUUUAUUGCUUUGAUUAUACUGGUUGUAGUUCUUCUAUUAGAUCUACAGGGGAUUCUUAUAAGAAAGCAACCAAAUGGAUGACAUGUUUUGAUGAUUAUGUAAACAAUGGAGAUUGUGCAGUUGUUGCAGAUGAAUUAGAUUCAUAUUUGGAUGAAAAAGUUAUACCCCGGAUGGAAGAUUUUAAUAUUUUGAGUUGGUGGAAGACAAAUGCUAAUAGGUAUCCUACAUUAGCUCGAAUUGCUACAGGACGAGCAGGAGGUAAAUAGUUUUAUUAAAAAUAUUAAUUAAGUAUCUACAUUUAUUUCAUUUAUUUUAUUGCCGAUGUAAAAAAUAUUUUUUUUUUCUUUUUAUUGUAGGAUUAUGAAGAUUGAGACAUUGAUAAAGAUAAUUAUUUUAAUAAUUUAUAUUUUGAAUGUGACUUUGUAAUGGAUCAAUAUUAAUGUAAGAUAUAUUUUAAACUUUAUUUUUAUCUGAAUUUUUUAUUUUAAUAUGAUUAAUUUAAAAUCAAAAAUAAAAAAAUGUAUUAGACUAUUAAUUAUUCGGAGACCGGGGACCCUCGGGGAUCCCCUGUUAUUAUUCGGGGAGGGGAUGGGGAUUCUCUCAAGCAAUUCUAACGGGGACGGGGAGGGGACGGGGACAUACGCAAAAUAUCGGGGAUGGGUAUGGGGAGAUUAGUCCCCUCCCCUCUCCUCCCCAUUGCCAUCCCUAGAUUUUUGCCAUCCCUAUCGAAACCUCUACCCACCACUAUUAGAGUUAAAAAAAUCUCUGAUAUGAGUGUAUUCUUCUAAUUUGAACUCUAACGUGAUUUUUUGAGAGAUUCAUUGGAAAAAAACCUUAAGGAGUUAAAGAAGAAAUUUAAAAAAAAAAUCAUAAAAAGAGGAAUGAAAAGAAAAAGAUGCUUUACCAAGAGUUGAUUGACAGUAAUUGGUAAAUUUGAGCAUGCAAUAAAAUUUACCCAUAUAUUCAUAUGACAUAAAAUAUAAUUUUAUUCAUUAAUUACACUACUAAUUUGUCUAAAUUUUAGUUUUUAAAAAAAUAAAUUUCUAUAUAUUUACAUAAAUCUUAGUUUUUAUAAAAAUAAAUUGAAAAAUAAAUUUAUGUUUUUAUAAAAAUAAAUUUAUGUUUAUUUUUUUACAUUGACCUGAAGAAAAGACUAGUACUACUAAGCUGCUGUACGGCCAAGGCGGAUGUACGGUACAGCAGCAAUUUGACUGUUUGGGGGUGGGGUUGAUGGCUUACAUCAAAGUUAGUGUGUGCUAAGGAUUAACAAUAAUAAUGGGGUAAAUAUGAAAUUAAUCCUUGCCCAAGCAUUAGAAGUUCGUCGGUUUUCUUUUAACCGGAUAAUUACCGGUGAAUAUGUCACGCGUUCCUACACGUGGCAGCAUCUAAUUUAUUCGCUUGUCAUUUCAGUUUCUGUUAGUUACAGUUUCUGUAACGUAGCUAGCUCCGUCAGGUACAGGCAUGUUGUAACUUACGUUUCUCGUAAAAAUCAUAUAAGUUCUAUUUCUACCGCUAGGGUGAGCAUGGGUUGAUUUGGAUUAAAUUUUAAGUUAAUUUAAAUUAAAUUAUAAAAAUUUGGGUGUAAUCUAAAUUAAUUUAAAUAUUUUUAACAUAACUCAUGGGUUGGUUAAAUCAAACUAUAAAAAUUUGGUCCAACUCAAAUUAACUCAAAUAUUUUCAACACAACCCAAAGCAACUCAGUUGGAUUUUAUUAAAAUUAUAAUAAUUAUUAAUUGUUUUUAAACCAACCAUUUUGAGUUUGGUUUGGAUUUUAUUAUCAAAAUAUAUUUUUUAUUUUGAGAAAUUUAAUUUUAUCAAAAUUAUAAUAAUUAUUAAUUGUUAUUACUUAUUAAAUUGAUAAUAACAUAUAAAAAUUAUAAUUCAUAAAAAUUAUAAAUAACAAAUUUUACAAUAACUUAAUCCUUAAAUUAAAGAAUACUAGAAAAUUAAAAUAAAGUUUAAUCACAAAAAUCAUUAUUUAUCAAUAAAUAAGAAAAUUCUAAUAAAAAACUUCUACAAGCACGAUAUCGACAAGUAAAUUCAAAGAAAGAAAGAAAGAAAGAAAAGACUAGUACUACUAAGUAUUAACCCUAUUACAACACAAACUCUAACAAUGUCCAUACAAAUAAAAAAAAAUAAGACAUUCUAACUCAAGUGUCAAAGCAAUCCAUCAUAAUCAUUUCCAUCCGUAGUACUUUAAUCGAGAGAUUCCACGAUUAACUGACAAAAUGUAUGACAAUGAUAAUUUACAUUGAUUAUGACAUAAUAGAGAUGGAUUUGUCAAAGCCAAAUCAUUUGCUGGAAAGGAAUUUAGUUGAAGUAGGAACCAAAAUUCAACUUAGAUGGAUCUAUAAAAUUGGUCAUUCAAUACAUAAGUACUUUAUCAACAGAUUCAACACAUUAUAAAUUUAUGGAUUCAACUAAGUUACAACCAGCUGCAACUUAUUCCUCUCACAUAAACAAUAAUACAGCGGUAGGCUAUAUUAUUUACAAAAAGUACUUAUGUAUUGAAUGACCAAUUUUAUUACCUGCAAAAUUAAUUAAUCUUUCACUCUAUCAUCUAACUAAUGGAAGGCAAUCUUAUUUUAGGUUGUAAUGAUUAGAAACUAGCAGGAAGUGGGGGCGAUGCUCCAUAUUAAUUUGGAUAAAUCCCUUUCUAGUGAAGAAGUUAAAAUUAUAAAAUAGAGAUCAAGAUAGAAAUUUAAAGGCCCCGAUUGUUUUUUACAGACUUAAAAAUGAUAUUGAAAAAUUAAAAGCUAAUUUUAGUAUUUAAAAAUUACUUUAAGAAAAAUCACCCUAUCUUCCUGUAAAUUUUGAAAAGCAUGAAAAGAGCAGUUUUUCAAAAAUUGAUUUCGAAAAUUAGUUUCAUACUUAAUACAAUUCCAUAUAUCCUAACAUUUAUUAUAAAAAUUCAAAUUAUCCUUAUUAAAUUAGGAAAUAAAGUCAGUACAUUUAAAUAAGAGUGAUGAUAUAGACACAAACUCUUGUACCAACUGACGUAGCAUUAAUUUAUUAGUUGAAUGAAAAUAUAAAAUAAUAUAAAUAAAUCAUGUGGGCCAAGAAAUAUUUAAUUUAACCAAUUUUAUCAUGUCACAUUAUAAGCAACUUAUAAACUCAUUGGAUUCGACUCUUUACUAAAAUAAAAAUAAAUUAAUAUAUAUAUAUAUAUAUAUAUAUAUUUACAUACAUAAAAUGUGAUUAUAUACACAUAUUUAUAAUUGAAUAUGUACAUAAAUUCUGUAGAUUUAUGUCUAUCUAUACAUUUGCAUUCUUACCACAUUUUAAAAGUGUGAUUUACCAAAUACAUGGGACUUAUUUGAAAUUUAUAGCACUUUUAUAAAUAAAAUUUAUCAAACGUUAAACAGAUUCUCUAUUUUCGCGUAUAUAUCCUCAUGUAAAUUAUAAAAAUUCAAAAUUAUCUUUAUUCAAUUAGGAAAUUAAAUCAUUAUUUUUAAAGAGAUUCUUAUUAUUACUAAUUAGAUUCAAAUAACCAAAAAAAUACAAUCAAUAAAAUAAAAAUAUUUAUUUUAGUUAUCAUUUAUUAUAUACACAUAUUUAUAAAUGCAUGUGUAAAUAAAAUUUUAUAGAUUUAUGUCUAUUUAAGUUAUUUGCAUUCUUACAACAUUUAAAAAAUGAGAUUUACUAAACACAUGUGAUUGUUUUUAAAAAAGUUACAACACUUUUAAAAAUAAAAUUUAACAAAUGUUUAAUUGACUCUCUCCAAAGGUAAUUGUUUUUACAGUAUAGCUAAAGUAAUUUAUAAAUUUAUGAUAAGUAUUUGUGAAUAUUGGUCUAUGUAAAGAAGUAAAAACAACAUAUAUAUUAAGCAGCAUGAUAUUAAAACUCUUAGUAAAAUACAUAUACUAAUAAAAGAAAGACAACAAUGCAAUAAAUAAGCUUAUAAUAUAAAUUAUUAAAAUUGUAUAUUAAAAAAUUAUGCAUGAAAUUCUUUUUCUAUUUUGGUGAUAGAGAAUGCGAUAUAAUUGAAUUAUUUGAUUUAAUAAAAAAAAAAUAUGACUGUGAAGGAAAUUAACAAUUGAAUUGUGGAAUGUUAUUAAUUGUUAUUGUAUCAUUUUGCAACGUUCUAAUAAUAUGGACAAUGUUACAGUAUAUUGAUGGGCGGUAAUAUUUUCACCUCUUAAAUUGUGUAAAGUCAGCUCCAUUUAAAAAAAUUAUAUAUAAAAAGCCCAUUAGUUUUAAUAGUUUCAAAUUAAGAUUAAAUGCAAAUAAUUAACCAAUUAAAUCCUUAUUAAUAAGAUCAUUGAGCUUUAAUUAAACUAAUAAAAUGCAUUUGAUAAAUGAAAUUUACGAUAUUUAAUUACAUGAAAUUUAUUGACUACAUGAAUAAUAUAAUUGUUCAGCUGUUUAAACUUUUUCCCUAUUUAAAUUUUAAAAAACAAUGUGAAAUUUUGUAAAUAGUUCUUUGAAAUGGGGUGGAUUUACACCAUUUGUGCAGUGCAAAUAUCCUAAUUCUAACAUUUUUUUUAAAAAAAAAGACCAAAUCAUAACAUUUUUUGUAUACUAAGUUAAAGUAGUACUAACAUUAUAGCCCCCUAAUGAUUUCAAUUCAUUCAAUGAAUAUAUAAUUUAAGCAUGUUAUAAACUAAGUCUCUAAAUCGAAUUAAAAAAAGAAAAAAGAGCUUAAUUGCUGACAUAGUUGAAAAUAAAAUAAAAAAUUUUAUUAUUAGAUGAAAAAUUAUGAAACUUAAGGGGUAUAAGCGAGUCGGCAGCUGCUCACCAGGGCAUAUGUAAUAUUUGUUAAUACAUUUCAAAAUUUUAGGUUUUUUAAUAAUAUUUUCAAUACAUUUUCUAGAAGGUUUAGAAAAAAAAAAUGACUCAAUACUUUAAUCGAGCUAUGAAUAAACUCAUGUGUUAAAAAAUUUCAUAUUUACACCCAAUAAGAUUAAUUAAUGGGUGAUACAAAUUUAAGAUAGUUAAUAAUAAUAUAUAUCAUCUUAAGUUAACUUCAACUCAUUAACCUUGUAUAAGGUUUGAUGGGUCGUGCCGCAAAUUAUCACCUCUAAUCCUUUUUGCAACAGGCAUGAUGAAUGCUAACAAAAUGAAACUUCUAUAUAUUUAGUUGUUAUUCUUUUUAAUGAAAUAAUAAGGAGCUUUGCUGCAAAUUUCCAUCCAGCAUGGCAUGGACGCACGUGAAAUUUGCUAGUAUGGUCCUGGACAUGCGUGGCUGAGAUGCUUCUAAAGGCAAAGAAUUCCAAGUUCAUACCAAAUAUAACUUUCUGAUAUUUUUGUGGUAUCAAGUUUGUUUUUCACAAACUAAGGUGUCGGCGUAAAGUUGUUGUCCAUGCAAUGAAGUUUUAUACAUAAAUAUAUUAACCUAAAUUGUUACUAAAGUUCCAUAAUUAGCAGUUCCUGAGAGUUUUUACUAUAUAUUUUUUUGUUUUAAUUCAACAUAUGUUUAUUUAAUACGAUUUUAUUAAAUAAAUGUGCAUAUUUACCAUAUUUGUCUACGAUCAAUUAGUUGGAAAAAAAAAAGAAAAUUAAUAAAUUUAUUUAUUUGAUUGUUAAUGGUUUAGGCAUUUGAAUUCCCACAAAGUCAGGGUGUCAGCUCUGGACUUCUGGUGAUGUAUUUUUCUAAUAAAGAAAUAAAAUAUUGUUGUCAUUUUUUUAAUAUUCUAAUUUACCAAGCCUACCAACCAAUUAAUUUUUCUAAUUAGAUCAUUAAUUCAUUACACGUGCAUUCGCUGGCCCAGUGCUCCAAUCCCAUGCAUGCUGCACAACUCAAUGUGUUUUAAUAAGAAAAGGUUUGGUUAGCCUGUGCUGAUGCCAGAAGCCCCUUAAGGAGUUCAGGUAAACGUAAAUAUGUCCAGAUUUAGAUUUGAAUAUGUAAACGUAAAUAGGUCCAGAUUCAGAUUCGUUGCGCUAGAGAGGGGCACGCACGAUCGGGCUGCUGUCAGGUGGUACGUUGGCGUGGCAAUUCUCAACACGCGCUUCUCCUGGUGCAUACUUACGGCAAGUUGACACGUGACCCGUGUGGAUUGAGUGGACAGAGUCACGGGCACUGAUUUUUGUCAUCCAUAACGACUAACGUCGGAGACUUCGAGAAGAAAGAAAUUGUUGUCGUUUCUAAGGGGAAAAAAAUAUUUAAUUUGUUGAAGACAAAUUAACGUCGGAGAUUUUUUUUAUUUUUUAUUUUUAAUUUUGCAAUCUAAACCAGUCUAAUCAAAAUGUCAAUUUGACAAAAGUUGGACUGAUUUAGAUUAGUUCUAUUAGUUUGAUUGGAUUAAAUUGAAUUAGAUCUUGAACAUCCUAACACUUUUCAUGAAUGUUUUCCUUUUUUUUUGAAAAAAAUUAAUAAGGAGAAUUCCCAUGAAUGUUAAUUUUAUUGAUAAACUUGGCAAUUUUAAGAAAUGUUUUGACGCACGAAUAAUGCAAUUCAUCAACCCACAUAGAUAUGGAUAUAGGAAGCAGAGACCAGAUCGAUCUUGACAUAACGAAAACUUGUAUGUGUAUAUGUAUGUUACAGACCAGAUCGAUCUGUAGCAUAGACUUCUCCUAUAUGUAGGUUAUAUUCAAAUUACAAAAUGAACACAUGUUAAGGAUCUACAACUUCUUCUUUAAUCUAAUAAGCUCCCUCAACUUUAUUCCAAAACAAAAAAGAAUCAAAUUUUUGUUGGAAAUAUUUAUGAAUGAAGAAGCAAAAAGCGCUUGUAUCAAGGAUCUAAUUAAAGAACUGCCAGAGGCAUAGAUCUAUCAAAGCUCCCUCGCAUGACUCUUGGUCUCGGUGGCUUCUUCUUCUUCAUUCCGAAUUUUCCCUCCAUCUGAUCUCUUCCAACCUUUCCAUUUCCAAAUUGAAUUGAAACUUGCCUCAUAUUCGUUUGUUGAAUCCCAUCUUUUGUUGCACCACCAUGCAUCAAAAUCCUUGAAAUCCCAGCAUAAUGCAAGGACUCAGCUAUUUGCAAUGGGGUCACGUUCUUACUUGUCCUUGCCUCAACAUCAGCUCCCUUCUUCACAAGCAAUUCAGUCACAUCUGUGUGGCCAGAUUCCACCGCACAAUGCAAAGCUGUGUACCCAUCUUCAUCUUUAGCAUCAACAUCAAUCCCUUUAUCAAUCAGAAUCCUCACAACCUCAAUCUUUCCCUUAAACGAAGCCCUAUGCAAAGCAGUCCAUCCAUGUAGGUCUUUCCCAUUGAUCGCGGCGCCUGCUUCGAUCAACCUCUGCAUUGUCCUCACUUCCCCUUUCCUAGCGGCAAUACACAGGCUGUCACCAAGCUUCAACGCGUCAAAGAGACGGGAGUGACCGCACUCAGCAGCAACAUCAUAAGCGGUCUUUCCGCUCUUGUUUCUAAUAUAUUUAUUAGCACCCUUCUGCAAUAACAGCUUCACCAUUUGCUCAUAUCCCAAGCUUGCGGCGAUAUGCAAAGGCGUGUCACCGUCUCUAGCGUUGCGUAUAUCAGGCCUUGCUCCGUUUGCUAACAGAAGUCUCGCGCAAUCUCUUCUUCUGUCUUCAACCGCGAGAUGCAGAGCUGUGUUACCAUCUUUUGUUAAAGCAUUGACAUUAGCACCUUUGAUUAAGAGAAGCUUUAGUACUUCCAAAUGGCCGCCUCGUAAGGCCAAGUGUAUGGGCCCCCAUGUUGAUGUUCCUGAUCUUUCUGUGCUGGCUUUCCUCGCCAACAAGAGCUCAACAAUAAGUGCUUCCCCUGCAGCCGCCGCGGCUUCAAGUGGAGUACUGCAGCCACACCUGCCUUGAGACUCAACAUCCGGCCCAAACUCAAGCAAAAGUUGAACAAUAUCAGGCCUCCUUUGAGCUAUAGCAAUAUGAAGCAACGUUUGUCCCUGCGCAUCGGCAGAAUCAGCCGGGUUCCAAGCCGGGUCACUCCGCUCAAGAACCUCUCUUAAAUCAUCCAUUUCACCAUCCUUAACAAGCAGAACCAAAACAGGAGACCCAACGAACAUGAUCUUGAUUCCGCUGUCGAUGAACACUUGCUUCUUCCUCGUUGUGAACCAGUCACUGGGGACGGAAUCAAGCGUCGACGUUGCAUCUUUAAUUCCAGCUCCAGGAACAACAACGCUGUGCAAGAGGAAGGAAUCAUCACAGUGAGGGAAAGAAUCAGGAAGAACCGAUCCUGGAGGGAGAUGAUACGCAAUCUCUACGCUUAGUGUUGCGAGUGGUGAUAUGAUUCCUGAUUGCGGCUUCACAGUAUAACGAGCCUUGUUUGUAGGCUGAAUCCUGAAAGCAACAGGCAUCGUGUGCAUGACAUUGCGGAGAGUCAGCUCCCCGGAACAUUUCUGCCCUGGUUCAAUUCUGAUAGCUACAAGGUUCGACGGCUCCAAGCUUACAAGCCUAUCCAUUGAUUAAUUUUCUCUCCGUUUCCCAAGGACUGCUGAAAGGGGUUCUUUGAACUUUUUGAUUCAGGCUUAUUUUCUUCACUUUUGGUGGCAUGGGGAGGAAUUAGAGGAGUAACUGUAAGAGCUGCAAGUGUUGGUGUAAUCAACUGUAAUAUAAGGAGAAGAGAGGGCCGGCUCUAAUGGGAGACUGCCACGUGGUGGUGUUAAAAACAAUGAGACUUGUUCUGUUCGGCGUCCGGAGUGUAUAUACAGUUGUGUUAGUGGUGAAAGUUAAAGAAAUCCUGAAGUUAUUUUCGGAGUGGCUUCUGCAAAGUCACUUUCAGGAUUGUAUUGUAUCAUUAAAAAACAAAGCCAGUUUUUGUUGUUCUAGUAAAAGGCGAAUCAUUGGACAAACUCGUAAGAAUAUGUUGCCAAAUGUAUAAAAUAUGAAAUUCAAACAAUGAUUACAAUGUGAAAUUGGACAAUGGACAUGGCCUGUGUGAAUUGUUUUGUGGGCUUACUAAUUAAAUUAAUUCACUAAAAAUAAUGUCACUUUUGUGUCUGUGAAGAAGCCGAAAUGGCACAGUCAUUUACGUGGCCAACUACGGUGACUACUUCGUCAGUAGCUGCUCGAGCACUUGGUCAGCACAAGUUGCUUUCUUUCUUGGCGGGAUUAGUUUUUCUUCAUUGCUUUAAGUGGUGCAUUUCUGCAGUUUCAUUUUGCUUUGCUUAUGCCAUUGGAUUUGUGCCCCAUAAAUAAAUAUAUAAUUAAGCGGAAAAGUAUCAAAUUUUGAAAAAGCUUAGGUUUUGUGUGUGUGUGUGUGUGUGUGUGUGUGUGUGUUUUAAGCCGAAUUACUCGGCUAAAAAUUAAUCCGAUUAUUAUUGUUUUGGUGCUUAAGAUGUGACUCUAACCUAAAGCUCAUUUGAACUCUCUUGAUGCUCAUAUGGUAUUUUUUGUGUUGUGUCGUGCUGGCCCUUACACAUCUCGGCUCAUAUUUUUCAUGUUACUAAGUUCUAAUAUGUACAAAAGAAAUAGAGCAAUGUCCGGUGGUAGAUCCAAACACUCAAUUUGGGGUGCUUAUUUUUCAGUCUCAAAUUCGAUUAUUUUCUUUUAAAAUAUUAAAAUAAUAGUAAUAAAAUACUUAUUUUAAAUACUGAGCUCAUUACAACCACAUAUGUAAAAGUAUCAUUUAUAUUUUUUUUCUAAAUAAUCUUCACAAAAUAUUUUAAAAAAUAAAAUUAUGUGACUAUGGGGAUUUGAACCAAGUCUCUCAAACUACUAAAUAACACUUUUACCACUAAAUUACAAAUCUUUUAACAUAUUAAAAGUGCAUCCAAAUUAUUAUUAUUAUUUAAUUAUUUCAUAAGAGAUUUGGGGCACAUUUAAAAGAAAAAAAAUUAAUGGUGCAUAAAGGACUAAAGCCUCUCUUGAGUCCUUGACCUUAACUAGGUCCACCCAUGGUAAUGUCAGUGAUACCCAACUUGAAAAAUAUACAAGAAACUUGGAAAUUUAAAUUAAUGAAUAAAUAAAUAAAUAAAAGGAAACUUAGUGAUUGUAGCUGUUGUAUUGUAUUGUGGAUCAAAGAAUUACAAGUUCUUGGUUUCUCGGUAUUGGCUAAUUUUGAAGUUAAAUGAAGUUCGAAAAUAUUUACAAGCAAUAAAAUUAUCAACUGAAUGAGACAAGGAAAGAGUAUAAAGACCUUAGCAAAUUAGCAAUCCUUCUUUAAUUUAGUAACAGUGACGCUUAUAAAGUUAGAAGACGUAUCAAAUCUAAUUUAGAUUUUGCCCCAUAAAACUAACUUAACUUAUAGUGCGUCUUUGUUUAAUUAGUAAAUAUUCCACAAAAACUGAUCAGCACUUUAUAGGAAAUUCCAAACACGUUUAUAUUCACAAGGAAUAUGUCAAGGAGAAAUGAGAAUAAAAAAAUGUAAAAACUAAUAAAGCUUCAUUAAUUAGAAUUUAUAACCAUAUGUGCUCCUAUACUACUUUUAUUAUUAAGAAUUUGAAGUAGAAGGUAGUUGAUUAUCAUGAAAUUACAAAAUUGUAAACGGAUUUGUUCUUUUGGAAAAAGAAAAAAAAAAAAAAAGGAAGGAUAGUUGAUUACUUGAUUAGUGAGAAAUCAUACGUAUAAAGGACAAAUUGAAAAAUGGGACCUGAAUUGCAACAAAGCUUCAUUGGAAUUAACUGCCGAUAAAAUUAAAUUAGUAUCACCCUACCCUUUCAUCUUAAUAUAUUCGAAAUUUCACCGAUCAAAGUUUCUAGCUUCGAUUUUUACGAUCUCUCAUCCUAAUAACACCAAAAGCAUAUUCAUUCGUUUGUAAGAUUAUGUAACAAAAUAUAGUAAAUAGCCUAUAAUUUUUUUGUUUUACUACUAACCUGUUAUCAUUCUUUUCUAAUAAUACAUGUUAAAAUAUUCACAGAAAAAAUUUAUCCCUAUUACACCCAACCACCUUUUUUUGUGUUUUUUUUGUUCAAAUUUUAGCAUUAAAGGGACAAUAAUGUCCUAUGAAAUAUGCAGAAAGACAGUUAAUAAUAUUCAAAAAUGUAAGUGGAGGUAUCUUACGCCACACACACAAAUUACACGACUCUCAUUAAUGUGUUGUUGUUGUUAUGUGUGGCGUAAGUUACAGUUGAAUGUCAUAUUCAAAAAAGUAAGUGGAGGUAUCAAUCUCCCUAAAUAAAUAAUUUAUGGAAGGUUGUUAGCUGUUGUACUUUUAGUUAAUUUUAAAAUCACAAUAAUAUGGUUAAUGUUAAGUUACAUGCAUGUAACUUAGGAGGAUCCCAAUAAUAUACCAUAUUUUAUUAAUAUGUACAGUAUUUAUAAUAUUUAAAAAUUAAGGAAUUAAUGUACGCAUGUAAAAGCUGCAUUGGAGCCAGUUGGAAAUCUUACUGUCUUGAUAUAUGCAACGAUUGUAGCAGCUAAAAAGGCAUGAUAUUUACUUAAUAUUAUUUCAAACAAUAAUUAUUUAUUUAAAGCAAAUAAUAAUAAUGAGGGCAGAAGGACUAUUCUAGGAUCAAUAUGGUGACAGUAUAAAUAAAUAAUAUUAAUUAUUAAUGCAUUGAUGAGUAUUGUUAAAAUGACAUAAUAGGUUUGUUUCAUUGAAUUGAACCUUUUCUCUUAAAAUAGCUAUAAUUUGUUCUCUCUCUCUCUGUGUUUUUGUUUUUGUUUUUCACUUUAGUUUUACUUCUCUUAAAAAACCAAAAAAAAAAAAACAAAAUUAAUGGAAACUGAUGAUGGGAAGACGGACAAUUUUCUAUAUUGUUAAAUAGAAAUGGGCACAAAUGUGAGUUUUUUGGGGCAAAAAAAUAUAGUCAAUGUACGUAGCGUUUGUCUAUUUGAAAACCCGUCAAUAUAAAAACAGGACGUAAAGCUUUCAGACAAAGUACUCUUAUGGCCGUACUUUCCAUAAACCAAAUCAAAAGAAGGAAAAUAUUUGUGUCUGGCUUCGAUGCGACUGUUAACAUUCACAAAUAAACACCUUUGCAUGGUCAGAAAAAUUAACAAGAAAUUAGAAGGCGAUGUUGCGUUCUACUUAGUUCUCUAGGAUUUGUGUCAUUUGUUUAUGCUACGGUUCGUUCCCAUUUGCAUUGCGUGGAAUAAUUGGCCGAAUAUUAUUAAUCUCAAUCUUAAUCUCUCAACUCUUGUCCCUUUAAUUUUUGUUUGUAUCUUUUUCUUUUUUUUUUUAAAUAUCACAUACAAUGCUUUUAAUAAAUAACUUCAUAGAAAUAUUUAAUAAAAUCCAACAUAUAUAAGUUCAAGAAACUCAAAAAAUAAAAGAAAAUAAACUCACGUUGUCACUGGAGAGACUCAAACAUGCUACCUUAAAAUUAAGUAGAGGGUGCAACUACUUGCACUUUAAAAAAAGAAAAGAAAAAAAAAGGGGCUUUGAACGCUCGUGAUAAUUUGCAAGUUAUGGAGGAUAAUCAUUGUACAAUGGGGAGAACUCUUAUGGAACAAUAUUCAAACUGAUAUUGAAAGCAUAUAAGAAUUUGGCUUGGGUGUUUUGGUGCCAUGAAUGAGUGCAGAAACAAAGAGGAAGCUUUGUCCCUUUAAUUUGAUCUGCUGUAUUAUAAUUAUUGAGAUUAAUCAAAUAAAUAACCGAAACAUGGUUACAGUUUUAUAGUGUAUUGCAAGUCUUUGGAGAUACUAUGUACCUCAAAAAAAAAUAUCGUAUAAAAGAGUGUUUUGUUUCACAGGGGUUCAAUGAGAUUUGAGAUGGCUGUAAUGAAAGUGAUGUAAAUUUUUUGGACUCUAAUGAGGUGUUUUUAGAUGGAGGGGGAUUUACAAGUAUUUUAUAGGGGUGAUAAAUGACUGUAUACCCACCAAAAAGGCCCAUUGUUCGAGUCCAUGAGCAUUACAGUUUUUUUUUUUUUUUUUUUUGAAAUUCAGAACAUGCAGUUUGUUUGAUUCAACUUCCGAAUUACAAAAUUAGAAUAAGAAAAAAAAAUGUGGAUGUUUUUUCUUUAAUUUACAUAAUAAUACAUGGUGUGGACGAUGUCUAUUGAGGGAUAAAAGAGGAAUGGGGGCACUGUGAAGUUUGUGUUUUUGUUUUUUUUAAAUUAUCAUAUUCAUACUGUCUAUAAAAAUAUGCAAGUUAAAAAAUUACUCAUGAUAUUGUUGUUUUUGUUUCAUAUAAUACUACUUAUGCACAUCGCCUCAUGCAAACAUUUCUUAGUUAUGCUUAAAAAAAUGAGAUUCUCACCAUGGGUCACUGUAAAAAUCCACAGAAGCCGUGGAUCACAGUAGGAAGCCCACUUGAACAGAAGAAGCUACCGAAAGCUUCGACAUUGUAUUUAUGAAAUGCUUAGUAAAUUUUGUUUUAUUUUGAAUUUAUAUUAUAAAUGGUGUGUUGCUAAAUUAAAAAAUAAAAAAGAAAUGCAAUGUGUCAAAAUACAAGAAUCUUACGGACAUUUUUGUCACAAUAUAUGUAAAUAAUUCAUAUCUUAUUCAUAUCCUAUGUAAGCUUCACUUGUUUAACACAAUGGUGGUUGAAUCUUCAAAAAUUCAUAAUCUUAAACAACCAAAUUUGGAAUUAAUUAAGCAAAUUGCCUCUAUAAAUUGAUUACAACAACCAACGACGUGUGAAGCCACAUGUCAAUUUCCCUAGACAGCCCAAAUAUUGAGGCGCUGUGAGGGAGCAAGGUGCAAUCGGAUGGGGGAAAGAGAGAGAGCCAAUGGUGAGAAUGGAUCGUGGUGAGGGAGAACCAACUGGUGGUGAGAUUUGUGGCUUCAAUGAGGUGAGUUUCGUGGCGCUGUGAGUGAAGUGAGAUUUGGCAUGAGUGUGAGGGAGAAUGCGUGUGUUGUGUGAGUGAGGUAAGCUGUGUCUGUUGUGUGCAUGGAGACUCUCACCACAAUUAGAAUUUAUAGUUAGCACAGAACGAAACACAAUAUUCUACGCUAACUGUGGAGUUAACCAUGGUGAGAAUAUCAUUAUUGUUUAUUAUAACACUUUUUUUUUUAAUUUGUUUUGACAAUAAAAUAAAGAACCUUGUAAGAAAACCUCAAUAACUCAAUUAAAAAACCAACUCAACCGAUGAUAGGUAAAUUGAGAAAUUUUCAACUAAAAAUUAUUAAGAUUGGUUUUAACUUCAAAUCAUAGUCACAUAGUUUUGUCCUUAUAAAGAUCAAAAUAAUGAAUUCUAACUCCGAAGUUUUUAGAUUUAUGUGACGAACUGACGAUAGUAUAUUGAAAUCGAUUGAAAUGAAAAAUUUAAUUAAAUGCAAUUCAAGAUGUAGUAUCAAAUUCAAACGAUUCGGAUUGUUUUAAAAAUUUCAAUGCUUUAAUCUAAAUCGAUUAAUCAAUUACACUCUUGCAAUUAUAUACCGUUAAAACUAAAAUAUGUAAAAUUUAGGGUGCAUUUAUUACCAUUUUCAAUUUGUUGUUUUUCGUUUUAUGAAAAGGAAAAUACAGAAAACUUGUUUGGUGAGCUCAUAUUGGUGGAAAACUGUACAGUGAUUAAAAACAAAAAAAAAUUCAUUUUUCAAUGUUUACAAAGGAAACAAGAAAACGCUAUUACACUGGGUUCUCUAUUUUAUUUCACUUUUACUCUCUGCCAAGGCCCUACCAUCUUAACUUUUAUAACAUGGUGUAAUAAAUUACGUGGGCCCAUUUAAUAAAGAAAUAAUCUAAUAAAUAAAUUAUUAUAACAAAUAUUUAAAAAUAAUAGCAUUCCAUACCUUACAGCUUAAUUACUUAAUAUAUUACCCAAAUUAUUUUAAAUAAAAAGUGAUAUCAUAUAAUUAUUAUACUAAAUUAUUACAUUGUUCGACCAAUAUGCAGUUAUUUAAAAAUUACUACAAACUUUCUUACAUAUAUUAAUGAAAAUAUAUCAAUAAUAAAGUUACAUCUUGACAGUUAAUAUAAAUAAAUAUAUGAUAAUUAUGAAAUAAUUAAAGAUUUUCUCAAUUAAUAUUAUCUUAUAACUACAAUUUAUUUACAUAAUUAAAAGUUUUUAAGAAAUUAUUAAAAUAUCUUCAAACCUAUAUGCAUUUAUAAUAAUAUAUAAUACAUCAUAAUAUAAUAACUAAAUAGAUAAAUUAUUUAUUAAUAUAAAAUAUAUGUUUAUAUUCAUUAUAUAAUAUUAUUCUUUCAUAGUAGUUUCAUUAAAUAAUUCUCUACUCUCUCUCUUUUUAUCUUUAUUUUUUCGGACAGACAAGUAACCAAACACCGCUUCACCUUUUUUUUAUUUUCAAAUACUAUUCUUAAAAUAAACUACCAAACAUAUUUUUAUUUUUAACAAAAACUAAUCAUUUUUAUUUUAUAAAACAAAUUGAAAAGUACUAUUUAAAAUAUAAUACCAAACUUACCCUUAAUAAUUUUAUAUUUGUCAAAAAGAUGAGAAGCUAAGUGGCACUAUCGUUUACCUAUUCAAACUAAACGUGGAGUCACAAUAUUGAAGACACUUUGGUGGCCACAACACUCUUUUCUUUAGUACGGAACAAUCUGGCUUACAUGACACUACAUAAAAAUAAAUAAUAAAAAAUCACCGAUUCCAACUGCCCCGGACAAAAAACAGGCCACACGUAAAAAGGCUUCUAUUUUUAUUUUUAUUUCUCCCCAUUUUAAAGAUGACGUCAUGGUGAUUAUGAAACCAGAAAAUAACAAAUUUUAGUUGUCUGAUUUUGUAGUUAUCCAGCGAAAACUAAAAAAACAGUGAACGCAGCAGCAGAUCUCCGUGUUUGUCGUCGUUCGAUGAGAGAUUCCGAUUCGUGAGCAUCGCAAGUGUUGAAAUGGAAUCAGACGAAAUGAGGAGUUAGCCUCUUAUUAUAUAAUAAUAAUAAUGAUAAUAAUAAUAAUAACUAAUCUCUUUUAUCAUAUAAUUGAUAAUGGAAAUUCACAUUGACAAAAGGCAAAUUACACACUGACUGGGCAGAAUAAAAAACAGUCUCUCUCAAAAGCAAUAAUUUAAACACUAACACCACCUUAAGGAGACACCCCAAAAAUAAAGCAGCAAGCUCUUACUGUGACCACACACACACACACACACCAAACUUUUAUUAUAGAAUAAAUCUAAGAUGAUGGAUGAUGGAUGCGUCACAUAAAAGUUAAUUAAUUUAAUCGCUGUCACUGCUGCUGCUGCUCUCGUGUCCGUCCUCGUGCUUCUUCUUCUUCUCCUUCUUUUUCUUCUUCUCUUCACCGUGGGCGGCGCCCUCGCCGCCGCCGACACCGGGGAUCUUCUGCUUGAUCUUGUCCACCAAGCCCUCCUUGUGUUCGCCCUCCUUGUGUUCCCCGCCGUGAUGCUGCUGCUGAUGGUGAACAUCAGUAGUGCCGACACCGGGGAUCUGCUGCUUGAUCUUGUCCACCAAGCCCUCCUUGUGUUCGCCGCCGUGAUACUGCUGCUGAUGGUGGACAUCAGUAGUGUGGUGGUCCCCACUAUGGUGCUCUCCCUUGUGCUUGUCCUCCUCCUUUUGCCCUCCUCCCAUGUGAAGGGCUUCUCCGAUCUUGUGAAUAACUCCUGACAUUUUCCCUUAAAAUGACUCUGUUCCUCUUCUUUUCUUUUCAAUGAAAAAUAGUUGUUUGCGAUCUUCUUCUGGUUGUUGUUGUUCUUGUUGGGUGAUCUUGGCUUGGUAUUUAUAGGCUCCAAAAGGAGGGACUAGAAUUAGGAUUAGAUUAUAGAUUAUUUUAAUACAUUUUAUGGCAAAUUCUGAUUUGGAAAGAUAAGAUUAUCCUUUUGGUUUUCCUUAUUUACCCUUUUGCACCCAUUACGUGUACGCGUCUUCGUGGGCUUUUUGGGUAUUUCAAUUAUAUCGCCAAUGCUAAAUCGACACGUUGCAUAUCAGCCGCGGUACUGCCGUAUGUAGUUGUCCAGAAAUCGAGUCGAUUCUCGAUCGUACAAUAAUUAAAUAAUAUUUCAUACGAAAUGAGUUUAGAUAUAUUUUGAAAAUUUAUUUUUAAUUUAAUUAUACGUGUUAUAUAUUUGUUAAUCGAAUAGAGGUCCCACGUAACAGAGUGUUUCUCUAAUCUUUCAUUGCUUUUAAUUAAUUUUACCCAAAUAAAAAAAAAAAGGAAAAUUUAGAGAGAGAGAGAGAGAUAGCGAAUUAGAAGUUGAUUGUAAUAUCGACACCUGUCAGACAAUCAAAUAUCGUUAGUUAAAAAUCAGUUGUCCAUAGUCAUGGUCAUAGAUGGCGAAAUUGAUACUUAUUUUAAAAAACAAAACAAAACAAAACGAAACGAAACUAAACUAACAGAUGUUGAAAUGCAGUUCCGUGUUAACAGUCUGUGAUGAAUCUUUAUCUUUGAGUAUACCAUUCAAGAAAUUAUCAUUCAAAAAUUUAUUUAAAGCAGCAGCAAAUCACCUUCUAAUUCCUGAAUCAAAUUAAUUCGAUUUUUUUCGAGUCGAUCAAUUCAUUAGAGAAUUAACGGGCUAAGUUAAAGUUUUGUUAGUUAUUUUUUUUUAUAUUCCUUUAGAUGAUAUGAUUGUCAUUGUCUUUCUUUCUCUGGGCAACAAUAAAUACAAGAUGUGCAAAAGCGUAGUGGAACAUAAUUCGAUUAUGGGUAAAGGGAUCAGUCCGCAUAAUGAGGAUAAAGUUUUUCUCUUUAAAAAAAUUUAACCCAAAGAAAAGGUCGUAGUUUGUAAUAGCCGACACGCAGAUAGAUCACAAAGCAUGGCGGUCCUGAUGGCAAUAACUAACUGAUAUCUUCUGCGAUGAGAGGAGAUCACGUGGUUCUGACACGUAUCGCCCCAUCAACUGAUGUUGUGGCUGCAAUCGCGGCCCAGUCUUUAGAGAGAAGAAAGAUCUGUUAUAACGGGACCUACUUUAGCAUCUAUUUACGACAAAGCCCCUAUUUACUCUACUUAGUAGUAAUAAUAGCAAGUGUCGGGCUUGGAUUCCGUGUUGCUUUAAAUAAAUAUCCGCGUAAAAAGAAAAUGCUUCUUUAAUCCCUUCCUUGUAAUUUUUCGACACGUGGAUGGUUGAAAUUAGCGUGCCGACAUCUUAGGAAUUUUAUCUUGGAGACGGGAACACUGCAGUAGGCAAUGCCAUUUUCUUCGGAUGGUGUGUGGUGACAACGCCUUGGAUUUUGACGUGCAAAGAAUUUAAAUUGAAAAAGAAAAAAAGAAAUUACCAGAAUAAGCAUAGAAGAGAUAUUUUUCUUUUUGUCCUUUUUGGAAUGGAAAAAGAGAUCAAGAGAUUGUUCCAGUAAGUAUUACACAUGUCACAGGCUUAUUCAUGCCCCAUUAUGGCAACUUUUAUGCCUCGCGGUGCCCUCGGUUCCAGCAUAAUAGCUAAGACUUCAAUUUUUCUAACAUAUUUUUGUUACAAAUAUGAACGGAGUAAAUGUAUAACUUUAAUCCUUUGAAUAAAGAAAUGGCGGUUCUCCUGCUCGUUAAUCUCACUUGAAUCCCACCCAGGCAAAAUUUCUUUAUUUUAUUUAACAACAAUUUAAAGAAAGAAACUUUUGCCAGGUUGAAUUUCAAGUGAGAUUCAUUCGUGGGAGAAGUGCCAUUUCUUUAUUCAAAAGAUUAUGGUAAUUACAACUUUCAAUUUCGACAUAAAUUAAAAUUAUAGGCUAUACAAUAAAAUUGCCCUAAAUUAGUCCUAAUCAAUUCAGAUUAUAAAUUUAGGUAUAUUUAUUAUUUUAAUAUAUUAAUGUUCUAUAUAUAUAUAUAUAUAUAUAUAUAUAUGUGUGUGUGUGUGUGUAUNNNNNNNNNNNNNNNNNNNNNNNNNNNNNNNNNNNNNNNNNNNNNNNNNNNNNNNNNNNNNNNNNNNNNNNNNNNNNNNNNNNNNNNNNNNNNNNNNNNNNNNNNNNNACAGCAGAAAAUAUUUGCUAUGGAUAAGGAGACAUGGUCCCACGUCCCACCGUCCCAAUGCAUAUUUUGUAUGUUUCCAUCUUUUCUGAAAUUUUAAUAAAUAAAGUUUUUUGACCACUUGGCCAAAGAACCUUACCCUUACACAACUUUGUGGUUGGAGUCCUGUGAUACAUGUAAGAACUUAUUUUUUUUCUUAAUUAUAAUAUUUUAGAAUAUAAUUAAGUGAAGUAGGUUUUUUUUUUAAAUAUGAGUAAAAUAGAUAUUUUUUAAAUAUUAAAGAGAGUAAAAUUUGAAUAAUAAUAUAUUAAAAUUAAUACAAACUAAUUUUAAUAAUUAUUUAAUUAUAAAUAUCAAUUAUAACAUCAUAUAAUAUCAAUUAUAAUAUCGUACAUCUCAAUUAAUUCAAUAAUAAUAAUAAUAAAUGUUUUUUGGGAUAAGUAAACAGUCGCAUGGCGACAAUAGUGGAUCUGGAUUAGAGUGAAGUGGUCCCAAGAGGCUGAGGCUGUGGCUGUGGAGUUCUAAAAGUCAAAAGCUCCACGCACUUUGUUUCAGUACCAUACACACUGAAAAAAUUUGCAUUUGCAAUGACGAAAACUUUUCACGAAAUCAAAACACCUCUAAACUAUUUUGUUAUCGAUAUUUAAUGGAGGGGUUUCCUACCUUUUUAACACUCGAUUCACGCCUUGACGCAUCUCACAGAAAACCUCAUGAUCCCAUUAAUCUUGCGUAACAUAUCUCAAAGCCAAUGCAAGUGAUCUUGUUGCCUACUUCCCUUUGACGAUUCAAAAUUGUUGAAAAUAAUUCUUUUUUUUUUUAACCUCAAGGAAGUGACAAAAUAUAAAAGAAUAUUUUCUACACAUUAAACAUCUAGAUUUUUUUUUCUUUUCUUUUUAGAGUACUUGCACAAACCGUUUCCAAGAGAGACCUUUUUUUUUUUUUUUUUUUUCCGGGCUUGGUUACUAAUUUGGUGUGAAUACUCUAUGGUGAAAAAGGAAUCACAAAGCUGUAAUCAAUUUUUUUGCAUCAUUUAGUUGUAACUUGAACAUUGGGAGGUUUAUAAAGAAUUAAAUUAAUUAUAAUGCCUCUACUAGGAAAAGUUCAGAGUAGCCCUUCACAACUUUUUAAAGGCUUAAUAAUUUUCGCUUUCUUCCUCUCAUAACAUAACAAAAAAUUAAGAGCUUUACUCGUACACGUCCUAUGGCUAUAUAGUAUUGGGUUCUCUACUUCAAUCGGCUAUCUCAAACCGAAGGUUAUUUGGACACACCAGCAGUCACGUUUGGAAACUCUCAAAUGCUUGGAUUGUAAUUCUUGUGGAUGAGAUCAUCUAAAUCUUGGGCCCAAGCCGGACAAUGGGUGGACAAAGAACCCUAAAAUACAGUAAAGCUUCUAACACCCCACUAAAACUCUUAAGAAAUCCUACCUUUUAUUUUUAUAUCUCUUUCUUUUAGAAAUUAUAGAGAAGACAUAGCAUUUUAAUUAUUUUCCCUGCCAUUGAAAAUAAAUUCUGUAAACAUAUUUUUUCAUAAUAAAAUUAUUGUUAUUAGAUAAUUUAUUUCUUCAUUGUUUCAAAAUUAUUAUAAUUUUAUCAACAAAAUUAGUUAUGUCAUAUAUUAGGAUUAAAAUUAAUUAGGAUCCAUAACUUGUAAAGACAUUUUAGUUUAAUUGAAUUCAUAUUUGUCAUUUUAUGUAAUUUUCAAUAAAAAUACGACUAUGAGUGCAAAAGUGGGAUGACAUAAUAUUAAAAGAGUGUGAAAUAAUCGGUAAUUGAAAUGGAUUGAAAUCAUAAUAGAGUAUGAAAAUCAGAAUAAAUUGUUUACUUUAGUUGUAGAAAUCAAAAUUAAAAUAAACCAUAUUAUCAUUGAUGUAUAUAUGUUUUCUUGUAAUCGAAAUGAAUUCUUAUAAGUUACUAUAAGACCCUUAUGGUGUGUUUACUAAUCAGAAAUCAGAAUGGAGUGGAAUUUGAAUAUAGAAUGGUAGGGGUAUUCGCGGAUCGGAUUUUACGGAUUGGACAUUAAUUCAUAUCCGAUCCAUAAUUUUACGGAUUAUAAAUUCUCAACACAAUCCAAAUCCAAUCUAUAUGUUUGCAGAUCGGAUGCGGAUUUGACUCAAUUCAUAUCCAAUCCACUAUUUGACGGAUUGAUUUUGGAAUUAAAAAUUUUUAAUUUUGUCCAAUCUAUGAGGUAAUUAAAUUUAAAAAUCUAAUAUAAAAAUAAUUUAUUAAAUAAAAAAUUAACGUAAAAAUAAUUUUACUACCAAUUAAAUUCAAAAUUGAACAAGAUUUAAAUAAAUUAAUUAUUUAAAUAAAACUAGAAUAAUUUAUUUAAAAUUUUUAAAUAUAACAUAUCGAAAAAAAAUUCAUUUGUUUAGAUUAAUAUAUGAAAAUUAACUAAAAUUAUGAAUUUAAAUGUUGAAAUUUGAGAGCUUGGAUGUAACAGGAAGAAAUUAAGAAACUUGAAGAACUUGAAAAGAAAGUAACAAAUUAAGCUUAACUACCUCUAAUGGUGAAGUGAAACAGUGAUGGUUUGUGCGUGCAAUGGGGUACAAAUUUGGCAUUAUAUGCCAAAAUAUUUUGUUUGGCUUUAGAAUUUUUAAUGUUUAGGAAGCUAUAUUUGUUUAUUUAAUUACUCAAAUAUUUAAUUAUUUUUUAUUUUAUGUUAUUAUUGAAUAAGAUAUAAUAUUGUGUUAAUUUAGCUAUACUUUAAUUAAUUAAUUAAUUUAUUAGUAAGUAGCAUUGCUACAUUUAUAAGUUUUAUUUUUUAUUAAAUAAAUACUUUUUUUUUUCAGAUUCACGAAUUUUUACGGAUUUACAGAAAUAAAUCCAUAUCUAAUCCAUCGACUGUGGUUUUUUAAAUUUUCAUUCCAAUCCGAUCUACCAAUCCACAAAUUAUAUUUUUACGGAUCGGACGAAUUGAGCGGAUCAAAUUGGGUUCUGAACACCCCUAGAGAAUGAGAAUCAAAAUAAAUUAUUUACUUUAGUUGUGUGAAUCGGAAUUGGAAUAAAUUGUACUGUCAUUGAUGUGUUUACUUUAUCUUGGAAUCAGAAUGAAUAAUUUCAAAUUACUAAACUGACCUUAAUUUUUUAUUGUAAUAAUAAUAGUAGUAGUAGUAGUAAUAGUAGUAAUUUUCUAUUAUUAUUAUUAUUUUCUCUCUCUUUUGUUUUUAUUUUUUUAUUUUUCUCUUCUUCUUCUCUUCCUCUUUUUUUAUUUUUCUCUAAUUCAUCGAUACUUCUUCUUCUUCUUUUUUCUUUCGUUUUUAUUUUUAAUUUUUCCCUUCUUUAUCGUUCCUUCUUCUCCGUCCAUUCUCUAUCUUCAAACUCUUUUUACUUUUUCUCUUAUUCUUCAUUACUUCUUCUCCCUUUUUUUUUUUUUUCUCUUCUUUAUUAAUUCUUCUUCUUCUGCGUCUAUUCUUCAUCUUCAAAUUAUCAAGUGAAAAAUACCCACGGUGCCUUACAAGAAGAAUUGGUUUUGUUUGCUUCAAUUAUUUUUUGUAUUUUGUACUUUUGAUUGUUUCAAAAGAGGAUAAACUUGUAAUAAUGCAAUUUAAGUAGGGAUGUUUUAGACAAUUUUGGGUAUGAGAGUCUAAUUCCCAACCCCCCACUCCCUCGUAGCAGACUCCCAUUCUUCAUUCCUAACUUGGUGUUGGACCUACUAAAAUAAAUCCCAUUCCCCUUCUUAUUUCAAGAAGCAAACACGAUUUUGAUUUCAAUUCCCCAAUCCGAAAGUAAACGCACAAAAAUUGUACCCAUAUGAGAUUGCUUAUCCUCGAGUUUUUAGAUUGAAAAAAAAAAAGGAAAAAAGAAUGGCCCCAUUAGGAAGGGAUUUUAAGUGUUAGAUAAAGCCGGUGUUAACCAUUAGAAGGUCUCCGACCUUCAACUGUAAUAUAUUAAACCCAGAUAAAUUUACAUAUAAAUCACACAAACCAACAUGCCAAUCAAAUAAAUUACAUCAACUAACAACAAUUGACACAUUAAUUUUCAUAAUACAGAGGAUGCAGAAAAUUAAAAUGUUUUAUCUUUUCUCCUUAUUUGUGAAUUGGAAAAUGAAAAUGUUAAACAUACAGAAGAGUGAAACAGGAUGGAUAUAUAUACACACACACACACACACAGCUUUGGAGUUCAAUGUCAUCGUAUUGCUCCAAGAAGAUUGGCGCCAUCAAGCUUUGCACCUUCCAGAUGCUGUUUAAUCAUCACCAUAACACCUUCAGUAGACAUUAAUACAUAAUAGAAACACAAAAUUCACAUGAUCUGAAUGUCUGGUCUAUUUUACUUACCGUAUCUCGAAGAUUUACGUGCCGUAAAUAAGCUCUUUGAAGGUUGGCACCCUUUAAAUUGGCAUUACGUAGCUUUGCACCCUGCCGCAUAAAUGUUCGAAGUUUCAACAAAUUAAAGUCUCCUGAGAAAUACAUGUCACGAAAAAGUAGGGCUGAAACUUGCAUCUAAUGUACAAGAUUCAAUCAGGGGUGCUUGUCCCACAGUGAAAGUGUAUGGGGGAAAGUGCACUUUCACAAACCAAAGGGGCAAGAUGUGAUUAUCACACGAUUACAAAAGGACUGUAGUCAAGAGAGAGAACUGAACAUGCAGCUUGUAUUGAGGCCAUGAAAAUUGAUGAAAAGCAGUAACAAGCAACCAUUUUGAAAACACUUCAUAUGGUCGAAUCAAUAAAUCAAAGCUAAAAUGAUGUUGACGAUCGAUAGCUUUUAGGUGAUAAGAGUCUUGGCACUACAGUUAAAAUUAUUAUCUAGGAGUGCACACAUUAAUAAAAAAAAACACAACCAAUAAGCAUGCACUCUUAAUCAGCAUAUAAAUUAACAAGUUAGUUGCACCUUAUGUUGUUCCACAAACAGAUUGCUCGAACAAUUCACAAUCUUACCUUCAAAUUAGCUCCUUCCAAAUUAGCUCCCUCUAGGUUGGCAUUAGUAAGAUCAGCAGUCUGAAAAGUCAAGAGGACAAACAGAUUGCAAUUUGAUUAAAAUCUCAAAGUAGCAACAUUCUGCAUGAAAGAAGAGCAGCACAAUUGGCAACAUACAUUUUAGAUUAAGAGGAUGGGAUAAAAGCAAAAUUACAAGGACAUGAAGCAAAUGAGCCAUGUUUAGUAUGGCAAUUUUGACCCAAUAAUUGUGGCAGGUCUUGGAGAUAACAUAGGCAUACACAUAAGGCAGAAGCAAAUACUGUCGCAAACUCCUAGCUAACUACAAAUGUUCCAUAUAGAAAAAAACACCUGCAAAAGUAAGGGAAAAAGCAACAGAUAAAGAACUCAAGAUGCUAGACCUGUAAGUGUGCAGAUCGCAGGUCUGCUCCACAGAAGCUGCAGUCUAUCAAGCAAGCAUCUGCAAUGAUUUAAGAUAAAUUUGAAUCCAAAUGACAUUUUACCGCAAGUAGUUCCAGCCAUUUUGGGAACAAACAAGAAAUGCUAUUUUGUAUUCAUUGUAAUUCCUUAAGCUAAAUAACAAUCAUGUGCUAUCUUAACCAAGGUACAGUUGCAAAUUCUGAAAUUGUGAUGCCAUAGGUUGUUCUUAAUCUUUUUGAACUGAAUAUUGAAAAAAUAUUCCUUCAAUCAUAAAUGUUAAAUAAUUAAAAGAACUGUGAGGGGGGNNNNNNNNNNNNNNNNNNNNNNNNNNNNNNNNNNNNNNNNNNNNNNNNNNNNNNNNNNNNNNNNNNNNNNNNNNNNNNNNNNNNNNNNNNNNNNNNNNNNNNNNNNNNNNNNNNGGGGGGGGGGGGGGGGGAAUGAAUAAGCGGAUGCAUACAGAAAAUUAUGGAAAAUCUGUUAUGGAAAUAAUAUGAAAAUGGGUAUGCAUAACUACAUACUGAAUCUUGACUAAUUUCAAUUUAAUUCAGAUAAGAAAUUCCAGUAUGGGAAUUGCCUUGUAAAUUUGCACUCUGAAGAUUUGCACCAGCUAGUAAAGCUCCACGAAGGUUUGCCCCAGCAAAUUCACAUCUUCCCUAGGCAAGAUAAAACCCUUAAAAGGCAAUUUUGAAAAAUACAUAUAAUUGGGAGAAUAUCCAGUAUUGCUUUGACUCUCUUACUCACGCAAAGUUGCAUUGUGAAAAAUGGAACCCUCAGCAUCCACAUCCUGUAUCAAGAACAGACAGAUUCAGUAUGAUUAAUAUAACUGGUUGCUGGAAGACAGGACAAAAUCGCAUCUUGUCACUGUCAACUUGCAUGUUAAGAAUUAAACACGAAAACUGCAUGCUGUCCAAUUAUAAGAAACCUAUAAAAUUCAAAUCAACAUCAAUACUGGCUUAAGGAAGAUAUAAAAAUAAAAAUUAUACCAACCCGAAAUUUCGCAGAUUGAAGAUUUGCACGUGAGAAGAAAACAUUUCUAAGACACGCAUAGCUGAAGUCCACAAGUGAAAGAUCCUGGCCAUUUUAAUAAGAUAGCAUCAGAGGAAACAAUAUCUAAUGAAUAUAUAAUGUUCUUUCUUGCUUAUCUGAGAAUACUAAUGAGAUUAUCAAAAAAACUCUAAGCUACUGCUAAGAAGUCUUGUGUUACAUGAGUAUGAAUUGAGGAGGUAAAGAAGACCCUUCUCCAAUAAGUUACCAUAGAAGCCACAUAAAACCCUAAAGCAGUUACAAACUUACAAUGACCAGAAUAAACCACCCCAACUAUCUAUUGGCAAGUAAAAUCACUUCUCUGGAUUUCUGAAAACUAGCAAAACAAAUGCAUAAAUUGGCAAAUUCGAUGAUUUCCUCUGAAAACCAAAUUAUAGCAGACAUAAAACUUGGAAGUAUUCAUAGAAUAAAAAUCUUUCAAGCACCUCAAUUCAGUAAUUAUUACCAGCUUAGAAAGAUCAAGGCCAGAAAGAUUAAGUCCUCGAAAUCUGACUUUUUCAGACUGUAUACACUUGAUGAUAUCAAUGCGUGUUAGCUCAGUAUCUAACUCAUUAUCUUCCUUUCUCUUAUUUAUGACAGCAUGGAUUCUCUCAAUUAGUCCCUGAAAUGAAACACAUUAGAUGCAAACUAUUAUUUGAAAAAAGAAAUACAUUUUAUCCACUAACACACAUGGAUUUCAACAGCAAUCAUACAAUAAUUGAGGAAGGACGGUCAUAUCAGACUCAUCUGCCAAGAUUCAAUAAGCACAUCAAACUUGUUUACAUGUAAUUUCCACAUUCCACGUGAAUUUAUAAGGUCUGCCUAAGCAAACCAAAGAAGGCUACACUCAGUACUGUGUGUAUACUGCCUUACCUUUGCUGUUCCCCAGAUACCGUCCUGCAAUCCAGAUACUUAGCUGUGAAGUUUCAAGCCAGCGAAACCAUUUUAAAAGUACACAUGGACACAGAUACCAUUAUCUGAAUCAUCUUCGAUAACAAAUUAAAAUGCCCUAGCGUUCAAAAAACUUAGGAUCUCUUUAAGUGAAGUUCCUUUAAAAAAGUAGAAAAAAACUGAACAACAAUGUCAUGCUAAUAAAAGGUAAAAAAAAUAAAAUAAAAUAAAGCAUAAGGACAGAAGUUCACCAGGAGCAUGCCAGUAUAAACCAAAACGACCACAAAUCUCAACCAUAAAAUUUAAAGUAGUAAAGUAAAUAAUCAAGGGCAUGCAGUUGGCACAGGUGCUUCCAAAUAAAAUGAUGAUUCUUUUCAAACAGAAAAAAGAAAUGGAUGUUAAUAAACUAGAAGAAACCAUGUCUUACAAGUAAUUGAUAAUAUUCUGCUUCCCGUAGAAGCUCUAAAAACUCUGACUCUGUUAAUGUGGGGACAGCCCCAUCCCUUAACCAAUUCAGAAUAUGCCGAAAAUGUUUUCCGUCCCUAUCAACAAAGAUAUAGCCCUGCAAUAAUUCAAUAUGCUCAAAGAUAAGAAUCUGAAUAAUAUACCCAAGAGAAGUGCUUUUCCCUGGAAUAAUAAAAAGAAAAUAAGUCAAAACGUUUUUCUUAAUGGAAGAACACAAAGGAACAGCUCUAUGACUAACAUGAAAACCAUAAAUCAGAAUAAGAACCCAAAACUGGUCAUUUGGAGUUUCACCAGAUCAAAAAGAUCACAUGGAAAUAAAAUUGUGAAAAUGGGAUUAUUUAUGCCGAGGUCAUGGCUAAACUGCAAUCAUUACUCCAUUUUUGGUAGAAGGAGAAGAAGAAAGAAGAGUAGGUGAGUCAUCAUUCUUUCAGGUGAGUCAUCAUUCUUUCUCUGUGAUUAAUUGAUAUGAUGGAAGUGUUGUAGAUAUUAAUUUGAUAGUGAUUCCUCCCUUCAAAAGAAUUCAUUCCUUUUUUUAUUAUUUCACAAAGUUUAACUAAGACUGAGUUUUCUCAAUUUGAAGGCAUCGUGCACUCUACCCCUUUCUUUUCCUCACAUUGCUUCUUCCCAAUCCCAAAGGGAAGAAAUCAAGAAACAAUUACAAUUUUUAACUAUUCACCAGCAAAAACAAGGCAAAGAAAGAUGCUGAGUGUAAGCAAAAAUAAGAGAGUUAUACACCUCAGAGUCUUGGCACACAGUAUGGCGACCGCUGAACAUAGCUGCAAGCAUAGAUUCAGGCUCACGACGAGUCAGAGUAUCAAUUGUUGUAUAAAAUUUCUUUCCCCCUGGAUAUUAAUACAUAAAAUAUAAAUUUGUUCACUUAAAAGCAUGAAUUGUGCAAAUUUGUCAAUAAUGUCAUUCUUUCACAAACGUUCACCGAAAUGUAUAACAAUAAGUGCAUCAUAACAUAACUAAACGGCUUAAGAACUGCGCAGAUAUUACAUACAGUAGAGAAACAAGAAAUAGAAAAUGAGAUUUGCCCUUUUUAAACAGAAAGCAAUCAAAGAGUAAACUAAAGAGCUAAUAAUUCACAAAAUUCAGUUGAUUAAACUCAUUUACAAGUAAUUAGCAACAAAAUCCAAGCUAAAUAAAAAUAAUGAAAAUUAGGUUCUUAUAACAUCCGUCAAUUCUAUGAAAGUUUACCACGAUCAGCAACAAAUAGAUAAAUCGCAAUAAAGAAAAACCGACGACAUGUCGGUUGUGUAGUGCAUAAGUAAAGGAAUUUGCAGAUGAUGUAAAGAGAAUGAGGGAUAGUAACUGACCGAUGUUGAGACGAACCAUUGAAGACGAAUCGGAGUCCUUCGCCAUUGUCGAGUGUAAUGACUUGUCGUCUUACUUGCGCUCAUAGGUAUUUAUAUCAUAGCUGACACUGUUCGAAGGACAGCAAGGAUUUGGUGGGCACAAAUGCAUUUUGGAAAUUGGGCUUCGGCCCAAGAAAUCGAAAAUCAGAGGCUUUUUUUUAAAAAAAAUUUAAAAGGAUUAGAAUGUCUAUAAAUUAAUAGGGCUGAGACCAUCUUAAAUCUAUUAAGUAAAAGAGAUAUUAAAUAUUUUAUUAAUUAAUAAUUUAUUAAUUUACAGAAUUAUUUAUAAUUCAAUUAACAUACAUUUAAUAACUAAACAUUCAAUGUACAUAAUUUCUGAUUACAAUUCAAAGCACUAACAAUACUUCAUAAUUUCUUAUUACAAUUCAAGAAUUCAACCUCAUAGCUUUUAGAUGCAAUAAGAAAAAUAAGAAAUAAGAUUCAGUUAUAUUUAAAUUUUAAGAAAAAAACAAUAAAAUCAUAUUUUAUGUAAUUAAAAUAUCAUAGUCAACUACAUUUGUAAUUUCAACAAAUUAUUACUCUAUGAUUUAAAUGAGACCACAAAGUUAUAUAAGAUUUUAUCGAAAUUAUUAAUUUAAUCCAUUAGUCCAUGUCAAGACCUUGAAAAUUUAAUAAUUAUAUAAUAGAGAUUAUUAAUUUAUCGAGUAUUAAUUUAUAGAAGUUCUGAUUGUAUAUUAUUUUAUAUUAAUAAAGAAUAAAGUAGCAUUCUUUUUUAAUUCCGAAGUAAUAAAAUUAUGGCUAAAUUAAGAGAGUAGAUAUAUUUUAUAACUUGGUUUAAUAACAUCACGCGCCUCCCUUGUAGUUUUGCAGCUUUGAAGCUUUAUAAUGAAUCCUAUUAGCUUUGGCUGGAAAGUUAUAUUGUUAAAGAGAGUUUAUAUAUUAAACAAGGUGAUCUAAUAUUUCCAAAACUAAAUUUGGGAUCAAAAAUAGAAAACAUUUGCAUGUUUUUACCUUUUGGAAGAAUUACUUGAUAAGUGCUUCACAGAAAAAUGCUUGCUAUUAUAGAGCACCCUAAAAAAAAUCCUUAAUAAUUGAGGGAUCAUAAUAAAGUUCAAUUCUAAAUCUGUCAGAUAGAUCGAAAGUAACAAACCAUAUAUAUUUAAAUCUAUUUAGUAAUCCAGGGUUACAAGCCAAGCGUGCAAUAGCCAAUUCUGAAAAUCAAAGCUCAGCCUAUGCUCUCUGAGCACAAAUAAGAUCUGAUAUAUACAUAUCGAAUCCUCCAUUAUGUGGAGUGAAAUUUCCAUCGUGUACGGUGUACCUAACAAUGAGAAAGCAUGGCAGCAUAAAUUCAUCUUCCAUGUUAUUCUACUUAUUAGUACUGGUUCCCUCAUAACUUCUCCAAAUCGGGGAGGUCUGCAAUGUGUAAAGCACGUAAUCAGAUAAAAGAAAGAGAGCCAAAAAAAAAAAAAAAGGUAACAGCCAAAAGAUUAAAUUUCUUUGAGAAAUAGAAAAUGGGAGCUUUUGGCAUAGGCACAGAAUAGAAAGUAACAGAGUCAUUUACAGUUGUUCAGAAUAUGCAAGCUGAAAACAACUUUGAAUGCAAUGGACAAUUCCUCCAACAAACAAUCGAAUUGGAUUGUGGAAGAGACAAAAGCUUAAUGAGGUUAUGGUUUUGGCUAGGUGAACUCAAAAUUCUUUUAUAGACCAAGUAGGUAAAAACAAAUCCCAUAUAGAUGGAUGAACCUCAUACCAUGAACAGUUAAUCGCGAACACUUGCAGGCUUAUGCACACGACUAUGAAGAUACUAAGGGUUUCACCGAUGGUAAGUGAAAAAUAUAUGAUGUAUAAUUUAAAUGGAAGCACAUAGUUUCGGAUUGAAUUCAAGGUUAAAGUUCCACAGACAGACAGAAGAGAUGAAGCUUAAAAACUUACAGAGCAUUCCUUCAUCAUCACUGCUUUCAUCAUUUUGGCCAACAUGCUGAAAAAAGAAUAUGAUUCAAGUUAAAUGAUUGAGCAACAAUAAAAAACGUGCAAAAUUAAUGCUCUCUCCACAAAAAUUUCAGUCUAUAUUGGUAAGAAGAAACAGGAAGAAAAAAUUACCUCAGCAUCAUCGUCAUUGGAAGCCAAAUCAGCUGUAAAGACCACAAAAUGUUUGGUUAGAACCAGUGGAAGUCUUACUCUAAAAUUUUUAAUUUUUGAAUUUCGAAAGAUCUCGUAAUGACAAAGAUUUUCAUAUCCAGUGACCAAGUUUUGAAAAUUAGAAUACGGAAUGACAUCAACUAAAUUCACUAAUAUAAGCUAGAGGAAUCCCUAGUAGAUAUAGCGCACAUGCACACAUGAUAUGCAUCCGAAUACACAAUAAUAAAUUAUCUCAAAGUCAAUAAGAAGCCAAAAUUAGAGAUAAACUUUUAGCCACUAUAAGGAAGACUGAUAUUUGCAGUGUGAUUACAAUAAACAAACAGAAACUUCACUACCCAUAAGUAAAACAAAAUAAAUAAAGGAUAAUAACUAACCAAGAAAUGGAAAAGCUCACAUUCUCUGAACACGCACCCCAAAAAGAAAGAAAGAAAUAAAUGUUCUCAUUGGAUCUGAAGCACAAGCAAUCCACUGACAUCCUUCUAUAAUUAGGUAAUUUAAAGGGGUUAAGCUCACAUCUUUUACGGAAGUAAGAAGAGAAUUAACAACCUUCCAGAGGAUUUAGGGAAAUACCACGAGGCAAGAAAAAAGAAAUAUCCUUCUUCAAUCUAGAUAUCCUGAUACUGCUCACCAUCUACAACAGUCUGUGGCUUAAAAAGCAGGUCACUGAUCUCUCCCUCCCUCUGGCACCAUUUUCUCUCAUGUCUCAUUUUUCCCUUCCUGCCAACUCCCACUACAGUAUUGAAACCUAUUCUAUCAACUCUUCCCCCUCCAAUAACAAGACCAAAACCAAUUUUACUCGCCGGUUAGCUAGGUAGUAAAUGGAAAUUUGUGAAUCUGUCAUUCAUCCGUAGAAACAAACCAGAACUGCAUAAAUUCUCUUCUCUCCCAACAGCUUCUUUUCUCCAGAAAUAGGCACAAGUAUUUGACAUGGAAACAGUUUAUCUAACAUGGCCACCUUUAAAGACAAAGACAUACUAAGGACGUGGUUUUAGAUACGGAUACAAGAAACAAUCACAAAAUGUAAAAUCUAUACAUAUGAUAUUAAUUUCCAAUGGAUACAGCAAUUCAUUCUUUGACAUAACUUCAUCAGAUUACUAGGUUUGAUUAGGUUAUACACACAUUUAUUCAUUUAUUGAAUCUACAUGCACUUAGAAUGAGAGGUACCUAUAAAAACAAGUUACCAGAAAACAAUACAGCUAGAAAACAUUAAUCUAAGUAGUUCUAUAGGUUUAACUAACUGCAGGAAAAAACCAUUGAUUUUGUCCGCCAGAUUAUCGAGAUCCUAAUUCUGGUAAAAAGAAAAUGAGAUAAUAGAAAAUCAAAAAUUAAAUAGACACAAAAUGAGAAAUCAAGAUCAUAUGGCAACUAAUAUAUAGCAUGGGCUGCAGCUAACAAGCAAUAUAAGCCAUGAUAUUAUGCCAGAUACAAAUUUUGAGAUCCAAGAGAGAUCAAGAAGCAUGAAUACCACUAAAAUAUCGAAAGAAGUGAGUGCAGAAGGAUAAGAAAUCAGGUUGAUAUUCUUCAUACUUUGGAUCAACACGUAGUGAUGCAAUAAACUUGUAAUUAGCUUCAAAUGUAUAGGCUACCAUGUCAACAUUUCCGAAAACACACAAGAUUGUGCUGGAUUCAUACAUAGUACAUAUAUAAAAAAACAAUCUGCUUCUAAACUUCAUGAGAACAUCGAAUAAUGAACUUACAAUUUGAUCCCUCAUCAUCUUCAUCGCACCAUUUGUUCCAAUCAACCUUAAUGUAAGGUGCUGGUUUCUCUUCUGACUUGAGUAGCCUUUUCCACCAACCUUUCUCUUCUUUUUGGACCGAGCAUAUUAUGUUCCUUAAGCCAACUUUAGUCUUACAUUUCUGCACCACCAGCAACAAAACUCAAAGCAUUACAAAAGAGGUAUAUUUAGCCGCUCUUGACUCGAGUGAGAGAACAGGAUAAAUAGCCUAGGUAUAUCCACAUCCAUGUUAUGAGAUUGAUUAUGCAACAGCUAACUUUAAUAUAAAGCUUUUGCUUCAACAAAGACUAAAAUGUUUGUAAUUGUUAUGCUUUUGGAGCUAAAAUGUUUGGCAAACACCCACUUUUACUCUGCACCUAAUAUCUACCACCCACCCACACACUAAGUCUCUCGUUUGGUACAGCUAUUUAUCAGUAGUGGCUUUAAGCCACAACAUUUAAAGCGAAUUUACCCUAAAAUUUUACAAUGAAAAACCUAUACUACCUUUAACAUUGUUGUCAAAAUUAUUAUUAUAAGUAAUAUUUACCAAACACUAUCAACUUCCAAUUCAUAUCAAAGAGCUUUCACUCCACAAUAGCCGUGUCUUCUUAAGCCAGAACAACACAAUACCAAAGGCCUUAAGCUAGUGAUUUGAUUUCACAACAACUGCAGAUCAAGCCUCAAUCCCAAACAUACAUAAAUCAAAUGCAGAAAGCAAAAAUUUAACAAUAUGUUUGGUAUACUAAAUGUCUUUCAUAGUUUCAUUUCACAGGGUAUUUAGACAUGCAAUGAUAAAUUGGAGCAAUUUCAAGAACCGAAUUGACCUCAGGUAAAAUUUUGCCAAAAAGUUCCAAGCUGAAGUCGUAAAGCUCGCCUUGGACUCCGACGGCCGAGAAGCCAAAAAUCCCCUGAGGCUCGCAUUUCACAGAAAUGUCUUUCGCAUCGGGUAAUGAAAUGGUAAGGUAUACUUUAUCGGAGCGCUGAGCCCAAAGAACCUCCGGAUGGCGACUGAACAUAAAAGAAAUAAUAAUAAUAAUAAUAUUAUUAUUUUUUAUUGUGACAAUUUUGAACUAAUAAUUAGAGACAUUUAACAACAAUAUUGAUUAAUAUUGGAGAAGAAAAAUAAGGUUACAAGAGAGAAUCAGAAAGAUUACCUCAUUCUGGUGGAUGAUUGAAAACGGUGGGUCGAUUGAUGAACAGAAGUGUAACUGUCUGGGAGUGAGAGUGACUCUGCUGUUUACUGGGUAGAGUGUGCUUACUCGAAGAAAUUGAAAGUGAUAAUCUCGGGCAAGCCAACACGUCGAUUUGGUCAACAGUGGUCCAACAAACCAGGAACUAGGUUUUUUUUUUUAAAUGAUUUUUUUUUUCAGUAUUAUAUUGCCCCGCCCGUGGGCUAUUACAUUUUGGCCCUUUUGGGGACCCCUCGUUCUCUUACAAGAAGGGAAUAUUCUUUUCCAUCCACCGGUUUGUAGGCAGAGUACAUAUACUCUUCGAAAUUAAGGACAAAUUUCUGAAUCGUGCCGCAUUAGAAUUAAAUUGAGUCUCAAAAGAAUUUUGGUUAUAAGUAUAUCGUUCAAACGGUAAUAUAUUAAAAAAAAUAAUAUUUACUACAAUGUAGACCUAUCGGGACUUUGAAGCCCAGACCAAUUCUUGAGUCUAGCCUAAUAACACCUCAACAGAUCAAAAUUGAAAUCCAACUUAAAUUUCAAUAUUGUGUAGGGAUCUGCCUUAAUUUAGAUAUGUCAAGACCUGCCUUAGGCAUCAAAGUGAUCUAUCUUAACAUAACUAAGACUUUCUUUAAACAUCACAAUGAUUUAUCUUAACGUAGUCAAAUCUAGCCUAAAAAAAUCUAAAGAAGGAAAAAAGAAAUUAUUUUCACGUAUUGAGAGACUUAAAUUCUUAACCUUAUUCAUAAGAAAAAAAAGUGUAUUACUUAACUAAAUCGUGACUAAAAAUUAUAAUUAUUAUUUUUUGUACAUUUAGCUUUAAAAAAUCAUUAUAUAUAUAUAUUCAUAUAAGUUUUGACAUAAUAUACAUACCACUUAUUUGUUUUUUAAAUUAUACGAGAAUGAAAAAACUCAAGCAUUAAACACCAACUUUUGUUUCAUGCUAUCAAUCAACUUGAGAAAUUUUAUAAUAUAUCGGAAGUUCUACGUCACAAUUUAAUACGAAGCCUUCGAUUAAUAAUAAUUAGACACAUGACAAUAGAUGCUAGAGAAAUUUUAAAUUCCCUCUUUUCAUUAUCCCUCCAAAUUUAGAAUUUCAAAAAAUUAGAGAAUAAAUGUUGCUUGCUCUCUUUGUUAUCUAAUUCUAAUUAUUAUUUUUUUCUCUCUCUCUCCAAUCAAGUUGCUAGCAUUUUUUAAAUCUAUUGAAGAAUAAGAAGAAGGUUUUUGUCGAUGAAAUGAUUUUGGCAGCCUUUUUUACCCAAAGCUAACAUGAUUGCUGCGACUACCAAUGAAGAAAAAGAUGUGUUUUGCUGGCGAAGAAGAUGAUUUUUGAAGCAUGAGUGGCUGCCGUUUAUUUUUUUCCUUCAUAUUUUUCGAUGUAGUGGCUGUCCUCAAGUUUUAUUCAUUUACUUUUCAGUUGGCCUACUAUUUAUUGGCAUAAUGAAAAAUUUUAUUUUAAUAAGCAUUUAUAGAUUAAUUUGAGGAGGUUUCUUUUGC